rnacentral:lncRNA from 1 species
UUUGAUUUAAGACAAUCAACGGUAUUGUAAUUUUAAAAUUUAAGCUAACUACUUUAUUAAUGAAUUUGUAGUUCCAAAAAUUACAUUAGUAAUACUAAUUAAAUCUGUAAGGACAAAUAAUGCAUUCAAAUUUUAAAGUCAAAAUGUCAUCAACCGAGUUACUUCUUCAAGAUGGUAUUUUUUUUUCUCUACCACUGAUGUCAUUAACCGAAUUACUUCUUCAAGAUAGUAUUUUUUUUUUCUCUACGACUGAAUGAAUAUAAAUAUUAAUAAUAUCGUUCUACGAAAUAAUAUCGUUUUCUACGACUGAUUCAAAUUUUCGGAUUCGGAUUCGGGUUUCGAAUUUGAUCUGAUAAUACAUAAAACUCUUUUUGACGUCAAAUUCAAAAUAGAGCGAUAAUUUUUUUUCUCGUACCUAAGUCUCUGUGGGGGAUCUACCCCGAAUGGGGCGGGGAUGGAAAGGAUUUUGUUCAGUGAGUAAAUUUUUUCGCUCACGGGGAUGGAGCUGAGAUGGGACUCCCCACCCUAGUUAGUUAAUUCACGAAUUAUUCGUGAAUUAUUCACAAAUUAUUAAAAAUCCGAAUUAAACUGUCCAUUUACGAAUUUUUUUCAAAGAAAGCGAAUUAUUCGCGAAUUUUUGAACCAGCCGAAUUAUUCGUGAAUUAUUCGCGAGUUAUUCCCGAAUUAUUGAAAAUAGGAAUAAAAAACUUAUACUUUUUAUUUUUGAAUAUAAAUUAUCCUAUAUUUUAUAUCAUAUAUUUUAUAUUUUAUACCGAAUCCGUUUUCUAAGUCGAAUUUUUCAACGAAUUUAAAAAUUAGAAAAUAAAUUUUAUGCGUAUUAUAUCUGUACCAAUUUUUUACUGAAUCCGAAUUAACUAACUAUGCUCCCCACCCCCACAGAAUAAUAUAGAAGCAAUUGCUUACAUACUCCUGAAAAGCUCUUAGCUUUCUGAUUUAUCCCUCUUAGAAGGUUAAUAUUGAAAAUAUCUUUUUUACGUUUUGACGUAUUUUCAAUAUGCCCUUAGGGUUAAAUUUUUUUAAUGAACUGUUAGCUAUAGCUGUUAUUUCUAUAAAAUUACUAUUUUGCCCUUUCAAAUAUACUCUUCUACUGUCAUCAAUUUUUCUUAUUUGUCCUUAAGUUAGGAGCAUAAAAAGUAUUUUAAUUUUUUGUCUUUUCAAAUAUACCCUUCUACCAUCAUCAAUAUUUUUUAUUUGCUCUUAAGUUAAGGACAAAAAAAAUAUUUUGAAUAUUUUUUUUUAACCUAAGUUAACUUAACGGGUGAUAAUUGUAGAGUAUUUUGGGAUAACGGAAGAAUAUAUGAGGGGUAUAUUGAAAAGACAAAAAAAAGUAGGGAUAAAUGCAAUAUUUCCAAAGUUUUGAGAGGUAUAUAGGUAAUUACCCCAAUAAUAUAAUAUAUUAGCAUAUAAUUUUGCGUUUAUUAUUAAAUAUAAAAUGCCUACUUUGAUACUUUUGAUAUGCUUUUAAUUUAAUCAAAUAUUUUAAACAUAUGUAAUUUUUUAUACAAUAUUAGUUAAAUAAUAUGUGAUUGUUAUACAUUUUCAGUAAUUUGAUGUCAUACUUAUACUUAAUAAUUAGGUAACAUUUAAAUUACUUCCAAGUAAAGUUAAACUAAAUUUCUAAAUUUUAAAUAAAAAUUUUAUUAAGUAUAUUUUGAAAAAAACCAGCAGGGACAGGGCGGGGAUAGAGAUUAUAAAAUUUCGCGGGCACAGAGACGCAACAGUGUUGAUUUCAAAAAACAAAAUGCUUCAUGUACAUCUACAUAUAGGUGUAAAUUUUACACUUCACUCAUCGUAGAGUUUACAAAAUUUUUAAAAUUUUUGGUGUUAAAAAAAUAAUUGAUAAGGUUAAUAAAAUAUAUAUAGUGGUCUUUGAUUUGAUAGAGUUUAAUAUUCAUACUUAAUACUUAAUACAUAUAACAAUGCUCGACUUCAAAAUGCCAUGGAAUUUAGGGUUUUCAUUGUACAAUUUUUUAACUCAUCCCUUUAAAUUACAGGCAAUGUGAAUAUCUUAGGAUAAAGGUCCACAUUGGAUCUUUAUCUUGUCAAAAAAAGUUUCCUAAUACCAAAAAUUUUUUAAAAAAAUUUCUAAAUCCUAAAAUAAGGAAUGUGAGAUCUAUUAUAUAGUUAGCAUUUUCUUUCAGGUAAAUUGCACGUUUGGUCCCUUUAAUUCUCAAAUUUUAAUAUAUUAUAAUUUUUGACUCGAACUUUUAUAAUUAUUAUAAUUAAGUUUUAUUAUCUAAUUUAAUUGACCGAAUAUAUUGACUUAUCGUUAGUAUAAAAGUGAUAUAACAUCUUAAUUAUUAGUGUAUUAUUCCUAUAUUACUUCUAUAUUAACGAUACAUUGAUGUUAGUCAACUAAACUGAGUUGUGGAAUUUGACUGUAAUAAUUUUAAAAGUUUGAAUAAAAAUUACAACAGAGUAAUGCCUAACUUAUAAUUGAGAGCCAAAUGUGCAAUUUAUUUUUUUACCUUAUGGUCGUGAGUAAGGCUUUCAACAGGCUAAACGCGAGCGAGUCGGAAUCAGCUCAUGUUCGCUCAUUUAUUAAUCAAGCCGAACGCAGGCUAGCUUUUUAAAAUAUCAAGCUGAAAAAUUUAUCUCAUGUUCGGCUUGUUUAUUAAUGAGCCAAGCACGAGGUGGCUCGUGAACAGCAAAAUAGAUUGUCAGCCCUAUCACCAGAUGAAAAGUUGAAAGAAAAUCAAAAAAUUAGAGUUUUAAUCUAAUAAGAAAUUCACACAAUAUGUAUCUCUUCACAUUUGGGCAUGUCUAAAAUACAAAUAAUAAAAAAUUUGUAAUAUAUACAUAUAUUGAAGCUUUAUCGAACGGUACACGAGCGAGCUGACACCAUGCGACACUCCUAAAAUUUAAAAUAGUUCUGUAUAUAAGAUAUAAUAAGACUAAACCCUUUAUUCCAUCUAUAUUAUUUUAAACGGUGACCAGACCCAAAUAUUGAGCAUGUUAUGACUAAAAUAGUUCUAGGAUAGAUUGUUCUCAAAAAGCACUAGUCGAAAGUAUGAGAUGAGUCUCAGUUAAGUUAGAAUCAUAUAGCAAAUUUAGUGCAGCUUUAUAUAUAAUAAUAUAAUAAUAAGGUUAAACCUUUUUAUCCGACUAUAGUAUUUUGGACAGUAACGAACUAGAAUAGUUCUAAAACAUGCAACUCUUAAAGCUUCGUUUGAUUCAGAUAUAAGUAAGAACUAGCUAUUACAGGGAUAGGUACACGUAUGAGGAUAAGAAAAAUAGCAUUUGAAUGAAAAUUGGAUUAUUUCUGAAGAUAAGAAAAAUAGCGUUUGAAUAGAUAAUAUAGAAUAAAAAAAAUAGUGAUAGUUAUAUAUAAAAAACGAAGAUGUUGGUAGGGAUAAUUAUACCAGCUUAUUUUAGUUUGCGUAUAAAAAGAAUAAGAAGUUAUUCCUCUCCUUAUCUCCGAUCCAAACGGUGCCUUAUAGAACACAUUAUGCACGAGCUAAAUCUCAAGUGGAAAAAUUCAGCUCUUGUUCGGGUUGAGCUUAUUCGCACCUGCCGUGGGCGACUUGCCACCCGAGCCGCCGCGUCCGCGAUGCGAGGCCGCGGCGACGCGUGGCGCUAAUCCUCUUGCUGACGUGGAAUCUCCUGUGGGCCCUAUCCCCCCUCCUCUCUCUCUCUCUCCGCGACUCCCGAGGCUAUAGAUAUAUAUAUAACCCGAACGUACAUUCGAAGUGAGAGAGAGAGAGAGAAAGAGAAAGAUCGAUCUAGAGAGAGAAAUAGCGCGCGAAGCGAAGGAGACGACGGAGCGAGAGGAGAAAGAGGAGGCGCGUUCGCACGUGCGAAAUCUCCCGGGUUAGGGCUAGGGUUAGGGUUAGGGUUUCUUCGUGCGACGUUCGGAGCUCGGCGGUAACGAUGGAUCUCCUCGCUCCCUCCUCUCCCUCCCUCUUUCGCUCGAUCGAUCGAUCGAGAUCCAACUCACUCGCUUUUUUUUUUCUUUAUUUUUUUUUCUUUCUCCCUCCUUUCGUAUCGAUCUCUCGCCCUUGUUUGAAUCUUUUUUUAUUGCAAUUUUGUAUCUACACGAAUUGUUCCAUGCUUUUGACGUAGUUGUUUUUUUAUCAUUUUUUUCUUUUUCUUUUUUAGAAAAAAAGGGUGAGGGCAAUCGAGAUCAUCAUGAGGGGCGUCUCAGAAGCCUAUUUCGAUCCCGAUUUCGAUGCGCUCAUCGAUCGCAUCAAUCCCCCCGGGUGAGUAAUUAUUAAUCUUAAUUUCAAUUCAAUUUCUUAAGGUUUCAUCAAUCAAGUAAAUUUUAAAUAUUAUUAAUCUUAUUCUUGUUGUUGUUGAUAGAUGAAAAACUAUUGCAGAAUCAAAAUGAUGAUUAAAAUUUAAUAUUAUUGUUAAUGAUGAUGAUGAUGAUGAUGAUGAUGAUGAUGAUUUUUGCAGGGUUGUUGUGGACAACGAAACAUGCGAGGAUUGCACCCUUGUUAAGGUAACAAACUACACCCUCCUCUCUGAAAAAAUUAUUCCGUCGACCCGGUCCACUAAGCUUUAAUCCGUGGACCACGCACUUUCUCAUUUUAGUGCCCUAUGGUUUGAAGUGUAUCGCACAUCUCGUUUCAUUUUUUUCCUUUUGUUAUUCCCUUCACUAUUUUUUUCGUUAAAUCAGUGACAAAGUUAAAACUAAAGAUACUAAGGCUUUGUUUGGAAUUGCGGAGAGAUUGCGUUACGUGCGGUAGAAAAGUACGUUGGAAAACUGUUUGUUUCCGUACGUAAUAUUGCGAUCUGCAUAUUGUGAUGAGUCGGUUACGAUAUAUUUAUUGCGGUCCCAUCGGAGAACGCAUAAGCGCUUUUCCUCAACUUCAUUUUAUCUAAUAGUGUUAGAUAGACUUCAAUACCAAAUUAAGCCUAAAGUGAAUAUCCUAUAAAUUAUAGGUAGGGCAUUUGGAGUUUUUUGUAUAUGAUUUAAUAAAAAGUUAACAGAAAGGCUAACGCAAAGAGAAAAAUGAAACCACAGUGUACUAAGAUACUAAAUUGAUACACGUUAAACCACAGAAUACUAAGAAUACUAAAGUGAGAGAAUACGAACCACAGGAAUAGUAUUUGAAGUUUACUUUAAAAAAAACAUUUUCAAAUUUAUAGGCAUUUUAGUAAAAGUGUUAAAUAAAUAUAGACAAAAAUAUACAAAAUUUAUCUCCAUUUAUAUCUCGAUUGUAAACCAUUUGAGUCGGCUAUUUUUUAAAAAAAUUUGACAUUUUAAUUUUAAAUUUUAAAUUAAUAACUUACUUUGAUGAAUUUAUGAUUAUAAUUACACAAAUUAUAGAAAAUAUAUUAAUUAAAUUCAUAAAAACAUACAAAUGAUAUAUUUAAAUUUUAAAAUUUUAAAAUUAUCAAUCGUCGUCGAUAAAAUGAAAACAACAUAAAAGCGGAGGCCACAUUUUGUGAAACACGUGGUGGUUCCUGUACCGUCCUUUUUAACCUCGAGAAAACGACGAAUCCCUGCCACUGCUUUUGCAACAAACAUGUGGGCGGCGUGAGAGAGAGAGAAAUGGACGGUCGAGAAUGAUCGGCUAUCUUAACCUUUUUUUUUAAUUUUUUAUUUUAUUUAAAUUGUUUUUGUUGGGCCCUCCUAGGUAGAGAUGUCAAUGGGUAUGGAUAUUCAAAAUUUUAUUCGAAUCCGAACCCGAAUAAAAUGAAUAUAUUCGAUACUAAGCCUCCGUUUGGUUCAGGGUUAAGAAAAAAAUAGCUAUUUCAGGGAUAGAGUUAAGUUCAGGGUUAAAGUGGGGUUAAAGUUUUUUUGUGUUUGGUUGGAGGUGGAGUUAGUCUAGAAUAAUAAAAAAUAGUGUUUGGUUGGAGCAAGUGGGAUAAGAAGAUAAUGAUUGAUAAAGAAGGAUAAUGAUUGGUUGGAGUAGGUGUGAUAAAAAAGAUAGUGGGUUAUUAUGAAUAGAAAAAAAUGUUUGGUUGGAGUUUGGUGGGGUUCGGUAGGGUUAGCUAACCCGGGAUAACCCGGGAUAAUUUAUUUGAUGUGGGGUUAACCCCACCUAUUUUUUGGAGUGUUUGCAGAUAAAAUGGGGGUUAAGGGGUUAUUCCACCCCUUAACCCCCAACCAAACAAGGGCUAAAUGAAUAUGGAUUUGGAUAUGGAUAGCAAAAAUAAAAACCAGACGGAUAUGAAUUUUAACUGUACCUGAUCCGAACUCGAAUUUAUUUUACAUUAUAUAUAAUAUGUAUAUAAAAUUUGAUGUUAUAUUUGAAUUUGUAUUUUAAAAAUUUAGAUUUAAUAUAAUAUAUUUUGAAAUAUUGAAAAAAGAAAUAAUUGUUUUGGGUUCAAAUUUUCGGGCAAAUUUUCGGGUUCGGAUUCGGGUUCGGGUUUCGAAUUUUUGGUCGGGUUCGAGUUUGGAUAUGAAUUUUUAAAAUCCGUCGGGUUCGGAUUCGAAUUCGGGUCUCAGGUUUGGAGUCGUGUUCGGAUUCGGGUUUUUGAAAAUCCACUCCGAAUCUGACCUGUUGACAUCUCUAGACCCUCCUGGGAGUGCCAGGUAGCUGACUUUUGUUUUUUUAUAUAAUAAAAUAAAAUAUAUAUAAUAAUAAUAAUAAUAAUAAUAAGGAUGAACUUUAAAUACCACCUCUAUGGUUUCUUACUUUCUCAUUUUAGUAUUCUGUGGUCUAAAGUGUAUUAAGUUAGUGUCACGUGAUUUCAUUUUUAUCUUUUCGUUAGCUUUUUUGUUAAUAUUUUGUUAAAUUAUAUACAAAAAACUUCAUAUAUCCUAUCUAGAUUUAUUAAAUAUUCACUUUAGUACCCACUUUAGUACCCAUUUAGUUUUAACUUUAUCACUGAUUUAAUAAAAAAAAAUAGUGAAAUUGAUAAUAAAAAGAUAAAAAUAAAAUCAUAGGAUACUAAAUUGAUACACUUUAAAUUAUAUGGUUGUAAUCUAAAAAAGUAUGAAACCAUAAGGGUGUAUUUGAAUUUUUUUCUAAUAAUAAUGUAUGUAUGAUUGCAUUGCAGGUGGACAGCGCCAACAGAGACGGGAUACUUUUGGAAAUGGUGCAGGUGCUGACAGACCUCGACCUCCUCAUCUCCAAAUCCUACAUCUCCUCCGACGGCGGAUGGCUCAUGGACGGUUCGUGAUCUCUCUGAACCCAAAUUGAAUCCCCAAGUAAUGUACUAUUUUUUUGAAAUCAUAUUUUAAAAUAUAUCAUACUGAAAUAUACAUUUUUUAAACUAAUUUAUGCCCGAAUUGACGUCCGUCGUGAUUUUAUUUUUUAUAAUUAUUUGUAAAAUUAUACUCAUUUAGUAUUAAAUAAAUGCGCUCUAUUCCAAAUCGCAUAAAAUUCUAAAUAAAAUAUUUGUACUCAUUAGUAUCCCCAUCCCUCUCACCUGUCACCUCUCUCUCUCUCUCUCUCUCUUCUCUCUCUCUUCCAUUAUUUUGUGUUAAUUUAAAAUCUAAAACAUCAUAUGUGGAUUAUUUGCUCAAAAUUUUUUAUUUUAAUGACUACAAAAUAGUUACGAGUUAUCUUUUAAAAGCAGCCCAGUGCGCUACAAUAAAAAUAUAACCUAAAUCACAUUUUUUCGAAAUAUAUAUAUAGUAGUAAAAAAAAUAAAAUCGAGCUAAAUUGUACCCUUUCUUCUUUUUUUUUUAAUAACUUUUUUAAGAAUAAUAUUAUAUAUAAAUAUAUUAUAUAUUUUAUUUAUUUUUGUACAGUGUUCCACGUGACGGACCAGCUGGGUAACAAGAUUACCGACCGCGGCAUGAUCCACUCCAUCCAGCAGUCCUUCACGCCGGCGCCCAAAUCCGCCAGCCCCCGCCACCACCACCACCACCACCACCACCAGCAGAGCGAAUACAAUUCCGACUCCGCCUGCUGCACCUGCGCUGCCGCAACGACGACGACAACAACUAUCGAGGUCGCCGCCGCCGACCGCCCCGGCCUCCUCUCCGAGAUCGCCGCCGUGCUCGCGGCCCUCGGCUGCCGCGUGUCCUCCUGCCGUGCCUGGACCCACAACUCCCGCGCCGCGGCCGUGCUCGACGUCCAUGACCGCGCCGCCGCCGUCGACCCCCGCCGCCUCGCCGACAUCGAGCAGCAGGUGCGCGGCGUGGUCGGCGCGCACUCCGACGGGCCGGGCGACCGGAUGCGCGUGGCCGUGUCCUCGCCGUCGCCGUCGGGGCGCGUGCACACGGAGCGGCGGCUGCACCAGAUGAUGAGGGAGGAUGGAGACUACGAGGAGAUGACGACGGCGGCGGCGGCGGCGGCGGCGACGGAGACGCGGGUGACGAUAGAUCGGUGGGCGGAGAGGGGGUAUUGGGUGGUGGGCGUGCGGAGCUUGGACCGGCCCAAGCUGCUGUUCGACACCGUCUGCGCCCUCACCGACAUGCGCUACGUCGUCUUCCACGCCGCCGUCGGCUCCCACGGCCAUCUCGCAAUCCAGGUACGUAUACGUACCCAUCCACAUGCAUGCGCUUUACAGAGUUCACAUAUGAAUAGUCUCACACUCCAUAAUUAUAAGACAUUUUCGAUACUCUAUAAGAGUUCACAUAUAAAUAUUCCCACACUCAAUAAUUAUAAGGCAUUUUUUAUGCCGCAGUUCAUGACAUGUGAAUAAUUUCACAUUCAAUAUUUAUAAAAUAUUUUUUAUACUGAAACUUUCGAAUUCACGAUCCACUUUAUUAAAUUUGCUCUAGAAUAUUUGAAGUAUCUUAAAAAUAAAUUUAACAAUUUUUUGAUAUUAUUUACUUAGCAAUUGAAAAGACGCAAAAUUAAUUAAGAAUUUUAAUAAUCGUGAUGAGCUGUUUAUAAAUUUAACGAUAUAGAAAUAUUCAAAUCACGUAAAAUUUUAGUAGAAUUUUAGUUGAAAAUUUUUAGCUUGGAUCAGGAAUACUACAUAAGGCACAAGGAUGGGUGUAGCUUGGACUCCGAGAGCGAGCGUCGAAGGGUCACCCGAUGCUUGGUCGCCGCCGUCGAGCGAAGGGUCUCCCAUGUAAGUCGACAUCUCAGACCGCAAAGUUUCGGCAAUCAUAACCCCUCACUAGUUGCUAACAUGUUCUAACUAUGUCGGCGAUCGAAUCUGCAGGGGUUGAGGCUCGACGUUCGCGCGAUCGACCGGCCGGGGCUACUAUCGGACGUGACGAGAGUGUUUCGAGAGAAUGGGCUCUCGCUGGCGCGGGCUGAGUGCGCGACGCGCGGGGAGAGGGCGGUGGGGACGUUCUACGUGACCGACGCAUCGGGCUGCAGGGAGGUGGACCCAAAGGCGGUGGAGGCCGUGAGGAGGGAGGUCGGCGGGGGGAUCGUCUUGGAGGUGAACAAGGAUGCUCCUAGUCGGUCACCGGCGGAAAAGAAGAUCAGGGCCCAAACACACGGUAUCGGUAUCGGCAGUGCUAGCAGCUUAGAAGAGGCGAGGCCGAGGAAUUCGCUCGGGAGCAUCCUGUGGUCGCAGAUCGAGAGGUUGUCCGGUUUCAUCCGAUCGUGAAUCACACAAGAACACAGAAGAAGAAGAAGAAGAUCACGAAGAAGAUGAAGAAUAUGAGUUUGUUUCUCUCGGUUCAUCCGAUCCUGCCGAUCGCGCGCGGAGAAAUCAAAGCAUCAGAUGCAGAAGAUCAUGACUUAGAAAAGGAGUCUCGCAUGUGCAGUUCUGCUUGUAUAUAUAUAUAUAUAUAUAUACAUGUCGAUGAGUUUUUCGCCCGCGGCGUCUUUGGUUUCGUUCGGACGAGUAGUACUAUAUAUGGUUUCUGGUUUAGGAGUUAGUUUUUAGAUGAUUAUCAGCAGAGAUUUGUGACCACUACCCUUAUCAUGUGUGAGGCUCAGGAAAUUAGGUGCUAAUUAGUGGUGCGCGCAAAUGUCUCGUCAUUUUUAGUUGCGUGCUGCAUGUGGAGCAAAAACUAGUGAAGAUCAACAAGAGCUUAAUUUAAUUCCUGCAGCACGUUUUAAGUUUUGCAAAAGAGGAACUGAAUCUUAGCUAGAGAAGAAGCCUUGUAAAGAAGUCCCCUUGAUAGCUUCUCUCCGUCCUAGCUUAUUAUAUUUUUGCCCUUAUGCUACUGUUGCUGUUCUCUAGUUUUCUGAUUAUUAUCAUUACUGUAGGUAGAAGCAGAAGCAUAAGUUCUUGGGAGUACACACAGAUAGUAGUGGUAACGAAGAAAGGAAAGAUAUAUGGUAUUUGCUUUUAGGAUAAUUCUGCGCCAUUCUCUUUUUUUUUUUUUUUUUUGAGAAAUAGUAGUAUCGCUUCAUUCAAUUAGAUAGUGAAUUAAGCUACAUAGUGAGAUGGCCAGGCCUCUGGAAAAGAAAGAAAAAAACGUUCACAAGUAGGGGAUAGUUUUCAAAAAAAAAAGAAUUAAAAAUGGCCAGCGACUGAGAAAAAUACCAUUUGCCCCUAGCAUUUGAUUUUAUAUACAUUUGAAUCCGCAAUGUCAAGUAUAGCCUCAACAUUACUGUAGUAUUUAUAUCUUCGUACUGAGAAAAAAGAGGGAGCACAAAAAAAAAAAAGAAAAAAAAAAAAGAAGAAUGUGCCGCUUAUCUUUUGAAUUAUUUUGAGCUUAAAUUUUAAAGCUAGCUAACUUAAAUCAAGUACAUUAAAACAUUAGAUAGUAAAAUUAAAAUUCAGUAAGAUUGGGUAGUAGACUUGAUGAUUCAUCUACAAUUUAGAACUUAUUUUGUACAUUUUUCAAAAAAAAAAUUUCCAAAUUUCAUAGAAAAUUCUCCAUUUCAGUUUUUUAUCCAAAAAAACAAAACCUCUGAAGAGAGAAUUCCCAUAAAAAAAAUAUUAUUCUCGAAAUAAUUUUUUUACAAAUUUCCAAAUAAUUCUUCACAAAUUUCCAAAGGGAAAGCGUCGUCGUCCAACUCAGCUAAAGAUAAUUAAAAGGUAAAACCAAACUACAACAUCUAAAAAAAAUAGCAAGAAUCCAAAUAUAAGGCCGAAAUACUGGUGAGCACACCUUAAAAAUAACUUAUAUAUUCCUCUAAAUUUCUAAUCAACGAUAAGCUUUUAAUACCGACCGUCUCUAAAACAAAUAGCAAAAGACUUAGGUGGUUGGUACACGACAUCCAAGUUCAGUGAUUGAUUCACAUUUCCACCUAAGUUUAUUUCUAAAGUGAAAUAAACGACGCUGGUGGUGUACUACCUAUCUCUCUCCAAAAAAAAAAUAAUAAAAAAAAUAAAAAAAACUUUUAAUACCUUAAAAAAAUAUCUUCCCAGUUACUCAUUCUCUUUUCUUUCUUUUCUUUUCUUCAUAUGAACAAACACUUUCUUUUUUUUAAAAAAAAAAUCCCUUAAAUGAAAUAAUUUGGAAUCAGAUGUAAAAGAGAUGUAAUUUGGUAGGAGAUGAACUUCUCGUUUGAAAUUAUUUAUAUAAAGCAACUCUAAAAAAAAAAUCAAUGCGAAACGAAGAUAAAGAGUUAUAAAACCGAAAUUUCGAUACGUGGGAAAGCCUGCUGCAGCUGCUUAAUCAUCUGAAAACUCUCUCUUUGACGAGCUCCGUGGAUGGUCAUCUUCGUCAGUGAAGUCGCAACUCGGAAUAAGAACUCCAGAAAGUCAUAUUCAUAUCUCUGCCCUUGAGGCCUGUAGAUUGAUAUAUCAACCAACUGCUUGAGCGACACGCCGUGAGAAUCCCAAUAACCGCCUCGGCCGAAACCGCCUUUUGCCUCGAAAUAAUUAGCGUAAUCCUGAGACCAAAGAAACAAAAGAAAACAAAUUAGAUUGCAUUUCUCUUACAGAUAUAUAUGCAAAUCAAAGGAAAGCCAUUCGCAAAUGGAUUUCCUAGAAAAAAAAACCCGGUAAAGUAUUUUCCAUCCAUUUGAUUUUUCCAUGAAAAGUAUGUUCCUUUUUUUUUCCCCUGAUUUCACGGAAAAUUACGGAAUUCAUCCUGAAAACAAAAACUAUGGUAAGGGUUGUUUUUCUGUGGAAAGCUAUUGUUUUUUUUUACCCCCGAUAAACCGCUUUCCAUGUUUUUCCGAUGAACAAAACACCUCCUUCGAUGCACGAGAUCAAGGAUCCGCACAAAGUGCGAGAAAAUCUUCUGCUUCGAGGUGUAGAGAAUGUGCUUCAUAGCUAAAGAUAAUGGGCACUGUAAUUAUAAAUCUGUAGUGAUUCCGAUUGACUCACAAUAUUCUGUUCAGAUUCUACAUAGAAGGAAACAACCAAUGUCUCGAGUUUAGAGGAGUGCUUGAGCAAGAAGGCAACACCCAACGAAUCGAAUUCUGCAAAGUUGGCCGAUAUUCCCAGAUGCUUGAGAUUUCCAUAGUUUGGAGCCGGCGGAUUUGGCUGAUCGCGCUGAUCGAAAGCAAACUGACUCAAUAUCUGCAUUAUUUAGCAUUCAUGCAUUAGUUUUAUACCCAACAAGCGUAAGAGUUAGAAAGAAACCGGUUAUCGAAUUGAUAAUAUUAAUACAACAUCAGAAUUCAGUUUAGUUAGCAAUCAUGAACAACUUUGCGACCACACAUACCUUCAUAGAGCUCUCUAACACGACCAGCCGAUUAACUCGAAGCUUGGUAAACGCAGUAGUCAGAGAGCCAUUGUACAGUGAGUCCAUGCAAGAGCGCCGAUAGUUCAGAGGUAUGAGGAAGGACGAGACGAGAGAAGCCGGGAUGGAGUCAAUAGUGGAGGAGCGCGGUGGCGGGCCACACCACACCAAAGUCUGAAGUCCUGGCGCGGACAGCUUGAAGUGAGUCAGGCUGAGAUGAUCAUUCAGCUGGAACACCAUCACUGUCUUGAUGCUGGGGCAGCAGAUGCUGAGGCCGCUCAUUGAUCUGUAUAUCUUUUCUAACCUCAAAAACUCUAAAAGCGGGGAGUUCACCUCGAGCGAAAACCAAGGUACGGAUUCGAAUAUCAUCCUCCAAUCCUUAAGAACAGGACAGCUUUUAGAGAUCGCGUCGUUGGCCAUGGGGGCGAAAACCACUUGCGUGAGAUCAAGAUUCUCUAAUGAAGGCAAGAAUGCAGUGGCGGGCCAAUCGAUCACCGCUGCGCCCCCUCGAAAAUGAAGACAUAGCACUCUUAGUGAUGGCAGGUGGAAGACGGAGGGCAACUUGACAAAAGAGUAAGCACCAUAAAGACUAAGAUCGAGUGACUGCAGUGCAGAGUUACUCACGUAGCGAAUCCAAUUGUCGAGUUUGGUUUUGUCGCGAAGUUUUCUCCUCAUUCCGAGGGCGAAGGAGCGGACAGGAACGGCGUGGUGGCGAUGCCUUAGAGCGGAGUCAACCAAGUUAAACAAAUGCGCAGUUCUCAACUUCCGGAUCCCGAGAAGGAAAAUAUGGCUGGGUGAAGGAAAUGUCAGGGGCGGUCUGCCAGAUUGUCCGCCAUCGUCGAGAGAGGGCGGCUGUGGCGAUCGCUUUUUCGUAGGGAAGCAAGGAGAGGAUCUCGUGGAUGAGAUGGUCAGGAAGAAGACUGAUGCGAUCCACCUUCGCCUCCUUGACCUCCUCCUCGCUUUGUCUUUGUCUUUUACUUUUCAAUGCUUCUACCGUCAUAGGAUGUUGGGCCGAGAUGAUACAUUGCAGCCAUGUUUUCUUUCUCUUUUUGUCUGGAUGAAUCGUUUAAUCUCUUUGCGAUGCUUCUCUCAUUGUCUGAAGUCCUUUCUUCUUUUUGCUUUAAUUAAUUCUUCAACGUCUCCUUGAUGCUUUUUCACAUGCACGAAACCAAACCGAAGUCACAAUUGGAAAAAAAAACUAUAGAAAUACACUACCAUUGAUAAUUCAUUAGAUACAAAAGAUUAAAGAAAUUGGAGAAAAUCUUCCUAUUAUUUUUUUUUUCACUAAAAGUUGGUCUUAUUAUGCAAUUGAAGUUAAGGAUUGCUCCAAAUGUUAGUAGAUUUAUAAGAUCUAUAUAUCUUAAGCAUGCAAAAACUUUUGUAAAACAUUUCCAUCCGAAAAACUCAAAAAGAUCGGAAAAAAAAAAAAUAUCAAUAUAGCGUCGACACGAUUCUGUGACAUGCGCCGCACGAUCUGUUACGUGUGGCACAAACAAUCAUUGGUAGUGUCUAAUCUCCUUUUACUCACAAUUUUAAGUUUUUCGAUUCCACUCUAUGUUUCUCUUUAUCUUUAGCAUGCCUAUGUUCAUUUCUUAGUUAUAAGCACCUAAUUUUAGGGAUAGAUGUAGGUUCUAUAGACGUAAGUUUUGUUCAUAUCCUAAUUUGAUUUUCAUUAUAUUAGUUUUUUUACAUAUCCACACUUGCUAUCUAUAAAAGAUGAAGUUUCUAUAUAUCUGUCAAAAGUGUAAAAAGAACUUACAUAUCUCUUCAAAUUUAAAGUCAACCUACAAACCCCUAUAAUAUCUUGCAAAAAUACCCUUCCAGUUAAAUUUCUGCCAAUCAAUAUUAAAUUCCCUAGGGUGUCCUCAAUCCUCUCUCUAUUCCCUUGUUGUUAUUAUACAGUAAAAUCUUUUUUAUUUUAUUCUCCUUUCUUUAGCAAACGCCAAAUUUUGAAGAUCUAAAGGAAAAGAAUUUUGUUGCCGGAGUUUAUUAGAACCUGAUGAUGAGAAGCACAAAUAGAUUAUCGAAAGCAUAUUCACGAUAUAAUCGAACAAAUAGAAAGAGUAUUUAAGACAAGAUCCAAGUAUUCAUACCCAAGAUUCAAUCCUACCACAAAUACCUAGAUGAAAUGAGAGUAUCAAAAGCUACAAAAAGAAGAACACCUUCAAUAUACAAAAAUGUGCUGGUACUGAAUAACAAAUUAGAGUGCAGGUUUAAAAAACUGCGAACUUUUUAUACAGGUAAUCAAUCAACAAACAUCAUUUAUAUCAUAUAGUUAAAGAAGUACGCAACCCAAUCUAAAGUAGAGAAUAUAAGAGACAGAAAAGAACAUGAGGAACAUGAGUAGCAUAAAGAAGAACUAAUAUUUUUAAAAGUAUGAAUAAUAAAAAAGAGAAUUUAUUCUAGAAUCAAUCAGUUAGGAAAAAAUAAAAGCAUAUCAUGCGUCAAAAUCAAAUCUAAACUUUUUAGAGGACAAUUUGGAGCAACAGUAAUAACCGAAAGAAGUACGACAACUAAAGAAAUUACAUGUUACUAUAGUUAAAAGGGGAAAAAAAAAGGAAAACAAAAACUUCUAGGUCUCAUCCUCCAUUAUAUCCAUUUCCUUUUCCUCUCUCUGUAAACUAAGAUUCCACAGUAAUCAAAUGAACGAAGGUAAGCUAAAUCAGAUUAUUUCAAUCUCCAUACCUUUAUGCCUUGUUCAGAUGUCGGAUGAUGAUAACUUAUUCAACAUGAAGAUUUUUCGGUGUAAUUGGAGGGUAGGAGUUUGAUUUUUGCUCCUUGAAAAGCCUUCACAUCCAUGAUGAAGUAGAAUAGCAUAUGUUAUCUACGACAUGAUUUAUCUAAUUCCUAAAAAAAUUACUUAACAGCCGAAUAUAUUAUUCCAUUCUAGAUAAUUGAUAACACUCCUAGCUUCCAAGACAAUAAAAAAUCCUCAUAUUGAGUAGCAUAUCAAUGGAUAACUUAUUACGACAUCGAGCAUAAUAAGUUAUCCUUGGAUAACUUAUUUGGUACGAGGUUUUAGUGUGAUUGUAAAAACAAGAGUUUGAUUUUCGCUCCUUGAAAGGUAUUGAUAUUCAUGAUUUGAUAGGAGAGCAUAUUUCACCUAGGAUAGCAUAAUUAGCAAUAAAUAAUGCAACUAAAAUUUCACAUUCGUGUUCACAUCUUUAUACGCCUAUGUUAUAUUUGAAUAAAAUCUGAGUUACAAAACAUAAUGGCAGUUUCAACAUGCAACUCAUAAUAAAAUAAAUGAAGAAUACAAUAAACCACCCUAUCCCCCUAAAAUAUUUAUUAACGUCCCUCUUAUCUCCCCACAAAAAACAAUCAAACUCCCCUUUAAACCGCCCUUAUCACCCUAUACUCGUAUGUGAACUUUUUAUCCUUUUUCAGAAAAACAUCACUACUUAUGUCUACCAUGAGAGAAAUAUUACUAGAUAUUCUACAUUUGUGAAGGAAUAUAUAUACACACACGCACUCUUGAACAAAAAAGAAAAGGCCAUAAGUGAGAUAAAAGGCCUACAAACAAUCAGAGCAUUCUUAAACUAGUUGAAGCAAAAAGGCCAUAAAAUCUAAACUAUGAACAUUAGGAAGUCAUAACGAAAAAGCCAUACAAAAAUCAGCUACUCCAUUAUAUCAUACUCUAUCCCAAUUCCCUAAUUUGAUUCUUUUUUUUAUGAAGAAUUCACUUAACACCAUGAAAAGCAAGAAGCAGCCAAAUCUCUUCUUUGCAGGAGAGGUAAGAUUUGAUAUUUCCAAACAAGAUUAGGUCGUGCGAAAGAUGCAUUACAAAAGGAGAAUUGGAUGCAGUUGCUCAACACUGAUGGAAUUUGGCAGUUCAUAUGGUCAAUUCGAAUAUUGCGAUUAGUGCGACGACAGAUAUAAGGCCACUGACAUAAUUUCUUACGCUGAAAAGGCUGAAAGUAACUAAGAUUGCUCGAUAAUGUAUGCUUAUUGUUAAAAAGCUGUGUCAGAAUUGCUAUUAGAGAUUUAUCUACCAUCAACACAGCGUAAUGUUACGGCCAUAGCUAGAGCAUGUCCUGAUUCAUGUACUGGAACAUGUACUGGAACAUGAAGCUGCGAAAGAGCUUAAACUGAGCAAGUUCAAGCAAUGUUGUUCACAGGAUACAUAUGGCAGUUAAAAAGUUUGAUCCCGAAAAGCUUUACAAAGUCCGAUCUUCUAAGAACUUAUCUGGCGUGUUUAUGUCGAAUUUGGUCCAAUUCUAUAGAAAAAAGCGCAAUUGUUCGAUCAGUAACUACAGCAUCAGCAAAGAAGUUCAACAAGUGUUUGCAACAUUGAUGCAUACAUUUAGUAUUAAAAAAAAAAAGGGCUUCCAUAGCAUUGCAAUUCUAUGAACUUUAAUCACUAGUAGAGGAAUAGAAAAAGGAGAGCUAACCCUGAGAUAUCGCCACCACCUCGUCCUCCUCGUCUUCGUUGUCCUCCUCGUCUUCGUUGUCCUCCUCGCGAACCAAACAAAACGAGAGAAGUGAGAAAGAGCGUGUGAGAGCGGGGUCGAACGAAACCCUUGUUAUUGCGAAACCCUAAGAUAUCGCCGCCGCCUCCUCGCGAGAGAGCAGGGUCGUACGAAACCCUAGAUAUGGCCACCUCCUCCUCCUCCUCCUCCUCCUCCUCGCGAGAGAGCGGGGUCGUACGAAACCCUAGAUAUCCUUCUCCUCCUCGUCGCGGGAGAGAGCGGUAUCGAGAGUGCGCCAAGUGCGGAGGGAGAGAGAGAGCGAAUAAGAAAAAGAGAGAGAGAGAGAGGAGAUUAUUAUUAAUACUAAUGGAAUUUAAAAUAAUUAACGUAAAUAAAAUAUUAUACUAGUAAUAAAUUUUGGAUUUAUUAAAAUAAUCUUCUUCUUUUUUUUUUUGAUAUACGAUAUGUUAUGUUAUGCACUCUCUAGACUCUUAUCGUUGAUAUUUUAUUUUGGGAUAGUUUUUGGCGUGCCCCUCUAAAAGUACAUAUUUAUAUAAACUACUGAAACUACCCGUGCAUUACGACGCUAAUAUUAUAGAAAAUAAAAGAUUGACAAAAUUAAAAUGGGCCCUGCUUUUGAUUCAGGCAAAGAGGAAUAUAGUUCGGUUCAAGCAUCGGUUCGGUUCAAAUAAUUAAAAGAAAAUUUCAGUUCAAAAAAAAAGAGCGCCGGUUUGGUUCAUGCAAAGAGAAACCUGGUUCGGUUCAAGCAUUGGUUCGGUUCAAAUAAUUAAAAGAAAAAUUAGGUUCAAAGAUAAAAACAUAUGGAUCAAUUAGUCUGGUUCGAUUCGUCUGAUUUCAUAGGGUUAGCUUUUCUUUUUCUAUACCUCUAUAGUGAUUAAAGUUUAUAGAAUUGCCAUGUUAUGGAACCCUUUUUUUCUCUCCUUUGUUGUUUUUAACCAAAUGCAUGCAUCAAUGUUGCGACACAGCUUUCCUCUUCAUAUACCUGUAGCCAUAACACUACACUAUGUUGAUAGUAUAUAAAUAAACAUACAUCACUGAGGAAUCUUAGUUACUCUUAGCCUCUUUUGGCAUAAUGAAUUAUGUCGGCGGCGAUAUCGUUAGCAUCAAUAACAUUACUCUAGUUGAUCGUAUGAACUGCCAAAUUCCAUCAAUUGGUUGCUUUUUGCGGGGAGGUAAGAGGGGCAUUAAUAUAUGUUGAUAGGGGAUAGGGUGGUUUACCGUGUUCUUCAUUUAUUUUAUUAUGAGUUUCGUGUUAAAAGGUACCUUUUUGUUUCAUAAAUUUGAGCUUUUAUUCAAUAUAAUAUAGGCGUCUAAGAAUAUGAACACGAAUGUCAAAAUCCUUUUUUUCAAUCAUAAAUAUCAAUACCUUCCAAGGAGCGUAAGUCAAACUCCUUUUUUACAAUCACAUUAGAAAAUCCUCGCACCGAAAUAAGUUAUCCAAAAAUAACUUAUUUUGUUGGAUGUCGGAAUUAGUUAUCCAGUGAUAUCCUAUUCAAUAUGAGGAUUUUUUAUUUUGAUUUGAAGGUAGGAUGUUGUCAACUAUCUAGAAUGGAAUAAUAUAUUCAGUUGUUAAUUUAUUUUUUUUUUUUUGGAAUUAAAUAAGUCAUCUUGUAGAUAACAUAUGCUGUUCUACCUAAUCAUGAAUGUGAAUGCUUAUCAAGGAGGAAAAAUCAAACUUCUACCUUCCAAUUACACCAAAAAAUCUUCAUGUUGAAUAAGUUAUUCGAUGAUAACAUAGUCCAACAUCCGAACAAGGCAUAAAGUUAUGAUGACUGAAGAAAUCUGAUUUGGGCCAUUUGAUCCACCUCAGUUCAUUUGAUUAUUGUGCAAUCUUAGUUUAUAAAGAGAGGAAAAAGAAAUGGAUAUAAUGGAGGACGGGACUUUGUAGGUUUUAUUUAUAGUAGUUUGUAAUUUCUCUAAUCAUACUUCUUUCUGUUUUUACUGUUGCUCCAAGUUAUUCUUUAGAAAGUUUAGAUUUGAUUUUGAUGCAUGAUAUGCAUCUUUUUUUAUCCCUAAUUAAUUAAUACUAGAAUAAAUUCUCUCUUUUUUUAUUAUUCGUAUUCAUACUUUAAAAAAUAUUACUUUUGCUUUAUGCUGCAACGACCCUCAUGUUCCGUCUCUUUCAUUCUCCAAUUUAGAUUGGUCUGCAUACUACUACAACUAUACAACGGAAGACAGUGAUGGUGUAUCAACAAGAUGCUCAUCUCGGCCCGAGUCACUUCAAGUUGUCGGCACCAGGACUUCAGACUUUGGUGUGGUUCGGCCCACCACCGCAUUCCACCACUAUCGACUCCGUCCCGGCUUCUCUUGUCUCUACCUUCCUCAUACCUAUCAACUUUCGGCGCUCUUACAUGGACUUACUGUACAAUGGCUCUUUGAGUACCACAUUUACCAAGCUUCAUGUUAAUCGGCUGGUUGUGUUGUACAAAUCUAUCGAGGUAUGUAUGAUCUCAAAGUUGUGCAUGAUUGCUAACUAAACUGAAUUCUGAUAUUGUAUUAGACUAUAAGCUUGUUCGCAUAAAAUUAAUGUGUUCAUGCUACAUAAUGCAGAUAUUGAGUGAAUUUAUUUCCGAUUAGCGCGACCAACCGAAUCCACCGGCUCCAAACUAUGGAAAUCUCGAGCAUUUGGAAAUAUUGGCUAACUUUGCGGGAUUCGAUUCGCUGGGUGUUGCCUUCUUGCUCAAGCACUCCUGUAAACUCAGGACGUUGGUUGUUGCCUUCAAUUUGGGAUUUGAACAGAAUAUUGUAAGUCAAUCGGAAUCGUUAUAGAUUUGUUCACCGAAAAAAUCAUGGAAAACAACUGUUUUUCCAGGGUCAUAGUUUUUGUUUCUGGAUGAAAUCCGAAAAACAACAAGUAGACCUUUCCAUGAAAUCAGGGGGAAAAAAAGGAACUUACUUUUUUUUGGAAAAGCAAUUAGAUGAAAAAUACUCUUCUGAUCCUUUAGCCCCCGUUUGGUUGGGGGUUAAGGGAUGGAAUAACUCCUGAACCCCAUAUUAUUCCCAAACACCCCCAAUUGGUUGGGGGUUAAGGGAUGGAAUAACUCCUGAACCCCCAUAUUAUUCCCAAACACCCCCAAAAAUGAGAAUGAGCUAUCCCGGGUUAGCUGGGUUAGCUAACCCCACCAAACCCCAACCAAGCACUAUUUUCACUAUUCUGGACUAACUGUAACUCCCAACCAAACACAAAAAUAUUGUAACCGCAUCUUAACCCUAUUCCUGUAAUAACUAGUUUUUUCUUAAUUCCGAACCAAACGGUAAGCUGUAUAUAUCUGUAAUCAAAACGUUAUCUAAUUUGUCGUCUUUUGUUUCUUUGGUCUCAGGAUUAUGCUAAUUAUUUCGACGCAAAAGGCGGUUUCGGCCGAGGAGGUUACUGGGAUUCCCAUGGGAUGUCGCUCGAGCUGUUGGUCGAAAUAUCAAUCUACAAGCCUUUAGGGCAGCGGUAUGAAAACGACUUUCUGGAGUUCUUAUUUCGAGUUGCGACUUCAUUGACAAAGAUGACCGUCACCUUUGAUUCCUAUAAAGCUAAUUAUGGAGAGACUUUAAAGGUGAUUAAGCAACUGCGGCACACUUUUCCACAUGUUAAAAUUCUGGUUCCAUAAUUUUAUUUUCCUCUUUUGAGAAACUUUGCUUUUUAGUUAGGACCUAUUUAUAUUGAUGUCCGCUCCAUUAUCUAAAGUUGUAGUUUGGUUUUGCCUUUAAUUAUCUUUUGCUUGACCCAGAGAAGAUGUUCAGAUACGGUGGAUGGUAAAUUUGAGCUUAGCAGAUUUGUAAAAAAAUUCUAUUUUUAGAGAACCACUUUUUUUAUAGUUUUCGUCUUUUCGGAUAAAAUUCUGGAAAAAGAAAUUUUUAAGAAAAUUAUGUUUUUUUAGAUGCACUUAGUGGGGAGCAUCGCACUGAGAAGCUUCUUUUGCGUAUUGAUCAUCUUGCACAUCCAAAAUGUCUAUUUUUUUUUUCUGAAAAAGAUAAAUAAACCUGAAGAACUGAGAUAUUGUAUAAUUUUGUCAAUUGUUAAAUAUUAUAAUUGGGAACUUGCAAAUUUGUAAAUUUAUUGCUGGAGUAGAAUGGUUUAAUUUAUUUUUAUUUUGUUAUUAUGGGGUUUAAAAAAGUACACUUAGUUAUUUUAUAGUUUAGCAUAUUUUUAUUUUGUUAUCCUGUGUUUUAAAAACUUUAGUUAUAUUUAACUAUUUUAUGAUUAUUUAAAAGUUUUAUUUUGACAUCUUAUUUGAUACUAAUAAACUUAUAAUAUAAUUAAGUAUAAUUAUGCCUUUUUAAAUGCUUGCCCAAUAUCAAAAAAAAUAGGGAUAAUUAUCUAUAUACCUCUCAAAACUUUGAAAAUAUUUUAUCUAUUCCUAUAUUUUUUUUUCUUUUCAAUAUAUUUCUCAUAUGUUCCUCCGUUAUUUCUAAAUAUUUCUAUAGUUAUCAUCAGUUAAGUUAACUUGGGUUAAACAUGAGUUAAAUAUCUAUUACAGUUAAAAAAAAUUAAAAUAUUAUUUUUAGCCUUAACUUAAGGGCAAAUAAAAAAUGUUGGAGAUAGUAAAAAAGUAUAUUGGAAAGACUAAAAAAUAAAAUACUUUUUGUGUCCUUAAUUUAAGAGCAAAUAAAAAAUGUCAGUGAUGGUAGAGGAUAUAUUUGAAAUGGCAAAAUAGUAAUUUUACAGAUAUAAUAAAGUUCAUUAACAGAUUUUAACUCUACAGUACCAGCACAUCUUUCUGUUGUGAAGUUGCGCUUCGUUUUGUAGUUUUUGACACUCUCAUCUCAGGAAUAAUUACGUGGAUAAUAACUUAAAUACUCUUUUUUUGUGGAUUCUUCUUAUUAAUCAUAUUUGAAUAAGCUUCCACAAACAAAAUUCUUUUCCCUUCGAUCUUCAAAAUUUGUCAAUGAGAAUGACUAUGCACUAUAUUGAGGAAAAAUAUGUUGUAACAACACCAAGUCAUUCUAGUUGUCAAGCAAGUUUCUGUAACAACUUAAGAAUUUACAAAAUUUGAAUUGAUUCUAUUAUAAUUUAAACUAAUGCAUUACAAUAUAAAUAACUAACUUUCAAGAGAGGACACAAAAUAAUUUUUCAAAUUCUUUAUUCUCUUUACACACUAACAUGGAUAGUAAUCAAAUAAUCAAACUGAAAAUAGAAAAAAUAUAAAACUUUUUUGAAAAUAAUCUAAAAAUGCAAAAACGAAGGCUGAAAUGGUUGGAUUUGAGGCCCAAGCUCAGUAGAAAAAGCUUUACUGUUCCACUUGUAGAUUUCGAAAAGUGUUUUCCUAAUUGGGAUUGCAAAUUGAAAUUGCAUACUCUAUGAAAAAUUAUGAUCAUUUAAAGAUUUACCCCGUUGAUUGUAAAAUUAUGGAACUCACUGUGAUUUUUGGCAAUUUUUACGAAAACUCUAAUGCUAAAUUGGCCGCAUCAUUAGAACUCACGAAACAAUUAGAAUAUGUUUGUAUUUCUCAUGUUUGCAGGAAAAAAAAAAAAACAACAAUAUCAACCCAACCUACUCGGGCUCAAGAAAUAGUCAGCGUAUAUCUCUCAUUCACAUGUUUCAUCUGCUACUUGCAGAAAUGAAAUAGCAACGACACCCACCACCAGCAGUAGCAAAAACAACAAGAACAACAACAUAGACUGAGAAGACUAUUGUGGCUCAUGAAACAGUCAAAAAAUAUUUUCAGCUGCUCCUUAUAGAAACGAAACAAUAACACCAACAAUAUUUACUCACAAAUUUAUCUGGCAUCACAAAACAGUCUCACAAAACAAUCAGGAAUGAAUGAAAUAUUAGGUAUUUCUCCGGUACUCAAAUAUUGCUAUAACAUCUCCUCAUACUCAUCGCAGAAACAAAGGCAUAUACAUGAAUAGAACUAUAAGCAAAAAGAAGUAUCCAUAAAUCAAUAUCUAAAAGAAUUUCAUAGUUUGGGGGAAUCAAUAUCUACAAAACAUCACUGUGUGGAAAAUCAAUAUCUACAAAACAUCACUGUGGGGAAAUCCAUCUCGUACGGAGUAACAUGAUGAAGAAUAUCCUGACCCUCAAAUCGAGUCCUCCUCUCGAGUCGUCCAGUAGUCAAAUGGAACGUAUAAACCGAGCACCCUGAAUCAUCUUCCAGGCGCAAGAUGAUCAUGUCGCCGCGCUCACCGAAUCCUAAGAUGCUCACCCGGUAGGCAGGAGGAAGCAUGUCAUUAUCAGGAACUACCGGCACUGCGAUCUGAUCCAGCACUGCCGAAUCAAGCUGGAUAGACAGAUCAGUAACGUGCACCUCAGACCAAAUAGUUGCACCCCUCUCAUCAAAUGUCACCACAGAUACGUGAAUCGAAAGCUCACCCAAACAAAAUAAGCGCACAAAGCAAAGGCGCCCACACUCCGUCCUCGCUAAAGAAAACAACCUGAGAGACUCUGGAAUGGCAAUCGAAGGAUCGCCGAUCAUGACGAUCCGUGAUGCUGCCACAUCGAGAGCUAGAACUCUCAUACCAUAGCAUCUGUACAAACUACCAUCGACGAGUACGAGAGGAUGAAAGAAGAAAUCAACAGGUACAUGAACUGUGCGACGUAUGCGGGUCCGAGUCCAGAUGCCAGUGAUAGAGUCAUAUGUAAGUAAUCGAAGAUCAUAGGCAUACCUCUUCACAAGGACAAGUAAUCAAAAAUCAUAGUGAGGAGGCUCUCCAGGCAGCAGAGCAGCAAAAUAGAUAAUUGAAGGACCGACCAACUCUCUGGCAAGACAAUAAGCGUACUAUAGCUAAGUAAUGGAAUGUAAUAUGUGAACAGAAAGUCAUCGACAAAUCCCACAACGUGCGUCAGUAGAACACAUUCGAACCGCGAAUCUAUCACUUGACAAAGAAAAGGAAUGUGGCCCUCACAGAGGAGACGUAAAUUGAAUGCUAACCCCAUAUCUCGGGCUCCAAUGUAAUGGAAGCGACGGUCGCUAAAGAGUUCGACGAGAGGUGAGGUGUAAUAGUUCGAUCGACAGUCAUCAAUAAAUGCAGGUUGAGCAAUAACAUGGCUUCAGUCCAAGCAAACCAUGCGACAUCUGAUAAUAUCUCGAAGCGACAAAUAAAGAAAGAUGCGAUGCAAGAGAUCCGAAGGAAAGUAUGGCGUAUGUACUACAUCAACCUGCAAAAGAUCAGAAGAAUAGAUUGGAAUAAUUUACAUAUGGAAGAAUUAUUUCUGUGUAAUAAAUUUUCAAUAUUCACAAAUCCAGACCACACUGAAUUGAACAAGAAAGAGAAUCAAGUAAAGCCAAAGUAAUGGUCAAAUCGUAAUAACUUAUUUAAUAAUUACUAAAUUAAUAUAAUUAGUUUCAUUAACCGAAAGCUAAACUUGAUAGGCAGAAACAUUCUAAACAAAUUAAAUAAUGCCUCUGCGGUAUUACAAAUUUUAUUUAUUUAUUUUUUACGAAAAUUAGGGAAAUGUGACAUCCCUAGUAUUUAGAAUAGUCUUAUAUAUAAGGUAUAAUAAGAUUAAAACUCUUAACCCAACUAUAAAAUAGUCAUAUGUUUCACAACCCUAAUUUCGUUCUCGAAACUUUAUUACACAACAAUUUUUCAUAAUUCCUACCUUCUUUUGGUUGUACAUCAAAACCAACCAUAAACAUAGCAUGACAGCCUCCUUUAGCUCCUGAUGUUUACAACUUUGUUAGUUAGAUUAGGAAAAAAACAAAAAAACAAAGAGACUUUGAUUGGCUUCUAUUACCUUCAAUAUGUAUUCUCUUCGUUAGCUAGUAGACAGUGAGCUUGUGGCUUUAUUAUACUGAAAGCUCACAUUUUUAACUAAACAUGUUCAUAUCAAGUACAAGAUAAUUCGUAAUUUCCUAAUGUGAUCUUGAAACUAGUGCAUUGCCAUUACUCUAUCAACCUAUUCACACUAAAAUGCUCAUAAAAUAGCUUACAUAUCUUGUCAGAUAAAACAUAAUUGUCAGAUAAUUUUUACAGAUAUAACAAAGUUCAUUAACAGAUUUUAACUCUACAGUACCAGCACAUCUUUCCGUUGUGAAGUUGCGCUUCGUUUUGUAGUUUUUGACACUCUCAUCUCAGGAAUAAUUACGUGGAUAAUAACUUAAAUUCUCUUUUUUUGUGGAUUCUUCUUAUUAAUCAUAUUUGAAUAAGCUUCCACAAACAAAAUUAUUUUCUCUUCGAUCUUCAAAAUUUGUCAAUGAGAAUGACUAUGCACUAUAUUGAGGAAAAAUAUGUUGUAACAACUUCAAGUCAUUCUAGUUGGCAAGCAAGUUUCUGUUACAAUUUAAGAAUUUACAAAAUUUGAAUUGAUUCUAUUGUAAUUUAAACUAAUGCAUUAAAAUAUAAAUAACUAACUUUCAAGAGAGGACACAAAAUAAUUUUUCAAAUUCUUUAUUCUCUUUACACACUAACAUGGAUAGUAAUCAAAUAAUCAAAAUGAAAAUAGAAAAAAUAUAAAACUUUUUUGAAAAUAAUCUAAAAAUGCAAAAACUAAAAAUGCAAAAACGAAGGCUGAAAUGGUUGGAUUUGAGGCCCAAUCUCAGCAGAAAGAGCUUUACUGUUCCACUUGUAGAUUUCGAAAAGUGUUUUCCUAAUUGGGAUUGCAAAUUGAAAUUGCAUACUCUAUGAAAAAUUAUGAUCAUUUAAAGAUUUACCCCGUUGAUUGUAAAAUUAUGGAACUCACUGUGAUUUUUGGCAAUUUUUACAAAAACUCUAAUACUAAAUUGGCCGCAUCAUUAGAACUCACGAAACAAUUAGAAUAUGUUUGUAUUUCUCAUGUUUGCAGGAAAAAAAAACAACAACAAUAUCAACCCAACCUACUCGGGCUCAAGAAAUAGUCAACGUAUAUCUCUCAUUCACAUGUUUCAUCUGCUACUUGCAGAAAAGAAAUAGCAACGACACCCACCACCAGCAGUAGCAAAAACAACAAGAACAACAACAUAGACUAAGAAGACUACUGUGGCUUACAAAACAGUCAAAAAAUAUUUUCAGCUGCUCCUUACAGAAACGAAACAAUAACACCAACAAUAUUUACUCACAAAUUUAUCUGGCAUCACAAAACAGUCUCACAAAACAAUCAGGAAUGAAUGAAAUAUUAGGUAUUUCUCCGGUACUCAAAUAUUGCUAUAACAUCUCCUCAUACUCAUCGCAGAAACAAAGGCAUAUACAUGAAUAGAACUAUAAGCAAAAAGAAGUAUCCAUAAAUCAAUAUCUAAAAGAAUUUCAUAGUUUGGGGGAAUCAAUAUCUACAAAACAUCACUGUGUGGAAAAUCAAUAUCUACAAAACAUCACUGUGGGGAAAUCCAUCUCGUACGGAGUAACAUGAUGAAGAAUAUCCUGGCCCUCAAAUCGAGUCCUCCUCUCGAGUCGUCCAGUAGUCAAAUGGAACGUAUAAACCGAGCACCCUGAAUCAUCUUCCAGGCGCAAGAUGAUCAUGUCGCCGCGCUCACCGAAUCCUAAGAUGCUCACCCGGUAGGCAGGAGGAAGCAUGUCAUCAUCAGGAAUUACCGACACUGCGAUCUUAUCCAGCACUGCUGAAUCAAGCUGGAUAGACAGAUCAGUAACAUGCACCUCAGACCAAAUAGCUGCACCCCUCUCAUCAAAUGUCACCACAUAUACGUGAAUCGAAAGCUCACCCAAACAAAAUAGCGCACAAAGCAAAGGCACCCACACUCCGUCCUCGCUAAAGAAAACAACCUGAGAGACUCUGGAAUGGCAAUCGAAGGAUCGCCGAUCAUGACGAUCCGUGAUGCUGCCACAUCGAGAGCUAGAACUUUCAUACCAUAGCAUCUGUACAAACUACCAUCGACGAGUACGAGAGGAUGAAAGAAGAAAUCAACAGGUACAUGAACUGUGUGACGUAUGCGUGUGCGAGUCCAGAUGCCAGUGAUAGAGUCAUAUGUAAGUAAUCGAAAAUCAUAGGCAUACCUCCUCACAAGGACAAGUAAUCGAAAAUCAUAGUGAGGAGGCUCUCCAGGCAGCAGAGCAGUAAAAUAGAUGAUUGAAGGACCGACCAACUCUCUGGCAAGAACAAUAAGCGUACUAUAGUUAAGUAAUGGAAUGUAAUAUGUGAACAGAAAGUCAUCGACAAAUCCCACAACGUGCAUCAGUAGAACACAUCCGAACCGCGAAUUUAUCACUUGACAAAGAAAAUGAAUGUGGCCCUCACAGAGGAGACGUAAAUUGAAUGCUAAGCCCAUAUCUCGGGCUCCAAUGUAAUGGAAACGACGGUCGCUAAAGAGUCCGACGAGAGGUGAGGUGUAAUAGUUCGAUUGACAGUCAUCAAUAAAUGCAGGUUGAGCAAUAACAUGGCUCCAGUCCAAGCAAACCAUGCGACAUCUGAUAAAUAUUAUAUUGCAAAAUCUUUAAGAGAUAUUUUUGGAGGUUGGGCCAUCAAAAGUAAUCCAAAUUACUUUUGGAACGACGAUCAAAAAUUUGCGGAUCAAAACAAUUCAUGAUGUCGCUACAUCAAAAUCUAAAACUUUCAUACCAUAAUAUUCGUAUAAACAACCAUCGACAAAUACAAGAGGAUGAAGGAAGUAUCCUCGAGAGACACAAAAUGUGCUAUGAAGGAAGUAUCCUCGAGGGACACAAAAUGUGCUGUGCUAUGAAGGAAGUAUCCUCGAGGGACACAAAAUGUGCUAUGGACAAAGGUGCUAAUUCAGCGGCCGGUAACAGAAUAAUAUGUUUGUAAUAGAAAAUCAUAGUGAGCCACAUCAAGUCCUAAAACUCUCAUACCAUAAUAUUUAUAUAAACAACCAUCAACAAGUACAAGAAGAUAAAGGAAGUAUUCUCAAGGGACACAAAAUGUACGAUGGACAAAGGUGCUAGUCCAGAGGCCAGUAAAAAAAUAAUAUGUUUGUAAUAAAAAAUCAUAAUAAAGCUUCAAAAAAAAAUCGAAAACUAAUAAGAAGAGACUCUUCAAACAAUAGAGUAGCAAAGUAGAUAAACGAAGAAGAUAUCAGUAACUAGUUAGCAAAAAUAAUGAUCUCACUAUAGCUACUUAGUGGAAUGUAGUAUGUGAACUGAAUACUAAACUCGUAUAAAUCAUUAUAAGCAUCUCCGCUAUAUAUAAGUAAAAUACAUCCCAAUCGCAAAUCACUCGUGAAUCACUCACCACACAAUAUCUUGCAGCCUAAUAUAAUGGAAACAAAGCCUGUGAUACAUGUUGCUGAAGAGUCGAAUAAAAAUAAUGUAAUCAUAUACAUGUCAUUUUAAGUUGCAUGUUAGUGGUUUUUUUUUUUGUAUAUUGAGAUGUUUCUAGGUUUUCUGGGUCCUCUCUUCUCCUGCUGCUUCCUGGGUCAUCUUGCAGAGUAGCUCUGUCUCGAAACCAUGGCCGAAUCCUCCUCUUCUUCUGCCUCUGUUCCAUCAUCUUCUAAGUCGCAAGGUAUAUAUGUAUAAUAUUUUCGAAGACCUUCACCCUCUUCUCUGCUCUAAAAAGUUUCUCUUAUUGAUUUUAUCUGUUCUAUCUAUAUUAGGCUUUUCGAACUUCUCUCUCUUUUUUACCGGUUCUAAAUUUCGUUCUUAUGUCGUUAAAUUUUUUUAUUUUUGUUGUUGUUUUAUUUUAGGCUUUCAGAUUUCUCUUGUUGUACUUUUUAGGUUGUAGAUUUCAUAGUAUUGGUUCCAAAUGAUUUUAUAUUUUGAUAGUUUUUUUUGUUCUGUGGAUUAAAAAAAAAGAGUCAGGCUGCUUUGCUAUCAAUAGUAAAACCCUUUUUUUGCUAUCAAGUUUUUAACCCUUGGAUGAAAAAUUGUAGGGUUAAGAUGAUAUUAGUCAGUUAGAGUUGAGUGGUCCCCCUAGGGUUGAAUGGUCCCCACUAUGUUAUAGUAUUUAAUCCAAUGGUUAGAAAUGAUGAAAAGAGUUGAUCCAAAAGCUAAAAAACUGGUAGCAACAAUGAGAUUUUGCUACUAAUAAUAGUCCAGUCCAACUCUCUCUCUCUCUCUCUCUCUCUAUAUAUAUAUAUAUAUAUAUAUAUUUUUUCAUAUAUUGAUUUUUGAGUUAAAUAAUAAUAAUAAUAAGCAUACUUAAUGUUUGGUCAAAUUUAUAUAUAGCUAAAGUCUUUACAAUGGAAGACGUGGAAAAAGCUCUCGGACCAAGAAAAACGGGAGAGAUUUCUCAUGAAAUGAGAAUUGUAUGGGUCAUCUAGAUUACUGUUCUAGAUGAUGAUGGAAAUAAAACUUCUGCUACGGGGGGAACCGGAUUCUGUAUCCAUCCAGAUGGUUAUAUUUUCACGGCCGCGCAUCUAUUUCUUGAGAACUUCACAAAAAUAGAAAUUCGAAACUUACAUAGCUUGUCAGAUAAAACAUAGUUGUCCAAUAAAUUAUAUUUUUAUUUUUGACAUGUUCUUAGAUUAAGCUUUGUCUUCAAUGCCUACUCCCAGGUACAAACUAUAACAACAAACAAACAUCAUGUUUAAUAUUGCUAUGUAUUUUCUUUUUGUUCUUUCUUUUGGCCAACACACAUUUACACCAAGUGCUAAGGGCAGAUUCUUUUGUUUGGAAGUUUUAACAGAGAGCAAAUUAAUAACUCCUUCAACAAAAGAUCAAAUUACUGAAGUAUUUGGAGAUUACUUCAAUGACUGAUGAUACUACUUGCACUAAUUUCAUGUUUCAAAUAGUACACCAUCAAAUAAAUAGAAAACAAAUUCUAGUGCACAACACCAUCAAAUAAAUAGAAAACCUUAACAAAUUCUAGUGCACUACAUACUCGCGGCUUUAAUUUACACCUACAUCAUUAUUAACAGGCCUAUCAAACUUACCAUUACCAAGAGGAUACAAUAACUAAGGUUAAUUUGCACAUUCUAGUUGCAUGCAAGCAAGUUAUUCAAAAGGAACACAAGUUUAGGGGCACGUAGGUCGCCAUAGAAUGGUUUGGCGCAUGGGUUCAUGGAACGACCAAGCAUGAUGAGACUUGAGAAAACCAUUUCUACUCAAAUUUGAUCCAAACCCUAAAUUAACCCUAAAGAUUUCUUGUGUGGUUAGAACUUUGAUCGAUCUCCUCAUUUAUCAACGCUUCUUGGCAAAUGAAAUACAUAUAUGAAAUCCAAACCCUAAAAUCGAGACCCUAAACCUAAAUUAACCCUAAAUUGAAGAGAUAAACCCUAAAUUAACCCUAAAUGGAAGAGAUAGAUGGAGAAAGGAGAGCCCGAACUACUCGGUUUGGUUCGCUCUGAUUCGGUUUGGUUCGUUCCAAUAUCCAAUUAAUUACUCACAUCUUAUUCGAUUUUUUGGUUCGAUUUGCUAUUUAGUUUAGAAAUCAAAAUUGAACCGCAUUGGAAAACCGAAAUUUCUUAAAUAUUGCAAACUGAACCGAACCAGAAAUAUUUUAACCGAACCAAGACACCUACCUGGCACAAGUGAUUCCCGCGCAAAAGUAUGAAAAUGCUAUUUAGUAUCUGUAGGUUUUAAUUAUUGCAAUUGAGUUUUUUGUAUUUAUUUUGGCUUAACCAUAAAAACACCCCGCACUUUAUCUCGUUUCUUAAUAAAUUAACCCGUAUAUAAAAAAUUCCAACAAUGUCCCCCUGCACUUUUGAACCGUCUCAAAUAGGCCCUUCUAUUAAAUUUUUUGUUAUAACUAACGACCAAAAAUGGCAUGGCAUUUGCACCACAUGAGAAGAAUAAAAAUGCACAAUGAUCCCUCAAAUCUAGCACAUCUUGAGCUAAACUCUUGGUUAUAACGUGAAUUUAAAAUCUAAAAUUAGAAUCCGAAUUUCAAGUUUAAAUUGACAUUUGAAUUUUAAAUUUUUAAAUCUAAACUUUUAUUUGAAUGUCGAAUUUAAAUUUCAAAUCUAAAUUUAAAAUGUUUAAAUUUAAUUUCAAAUCUAAAUUUAUAUUUAAAAUUUAAAAUUUAAAAUUCAAUUUUAGAUUUCAAUUGAAAUUUAGUUUUGAAUUCAACUCCUAAAUUUAAAUUUUAAAUUUUAAAUCAAAACCUAAAAUUGAACUUGAAAUUUAAAUCCAAAAUUUACAUUUGAAUCUAGAGCUAAAUCCAAACUUUGAAUUUAAAUUCAAAUUUAAAAUUUGAAUCUCAAAUUUAAAUUUUAAAAUCUAAGUUUUAAUUUCAUUCAUAUCUAAAUUUAGAUUUGAAAUUUAAAUUUAAUUUAAAUUUGAAAUUAAAUUUGAAUUCAAAAUCUAUAUUUGAAUUUGAAAUUCAUACUAAAAAAAAAAAUCUAAAGUGAUCUGAAAUUCUAAUCAAAGAUUAAAAUCUAAACUCAAAAGUUGAAUUCAAAAUUGUCACGCCCGGGGUCCCUUUAGGUUAAAAACACAGCGGAAAUUUUUUUUUUUUUUUUUGCAAAUCUGACCCCAGGGUAUGCCAGAUCCGCCACAAAUACAGGGAAUCCACUGUUCACACGGACAGAGUCUCCCCUGUAUUUGCACGGCGUCGCACAAGUACAAGAGUAUAGCCAGAAAACAACCACAACCAAAUGAAUAUAAAGAUAACUAUACAUUCAUACACUCACCAUUCACAUCACAGUUUUACAUUCAGUGUUUAAAUAGAAAUUCACGAAAAUUCUUUUGAAAACUGUUCCCUACACGGAAACCUUUAUUCUUUAAGAAACGCUACCACGAGGGGUAGAAAACCUUUUAUUUCAAGAAAACACAAUUCCUUUAUUAACAUUCCAAAACCAACUGAAAACUCAGAUAUUCAAAUAAUAAAACAAAACUGAACCAUGUAAACCGACUAAGCUAUAUAUAUCCACAGAAAUAAAAAGGGUAAUAGCUAAAUCGAAAUAACCUGAGUCGGAAGCUCUAUCGACCGCUACACACGUACCUCACGAUCCGUCCGACUACUCAACGCCCGCGAUACCUGAAAAAUGGUGGGGGAGGUGAGAACAUGUAAACAUGUCUCCCCUCCCAGUGGGUACGCAAGCCGAAGAAGGCGAGGAGUACUCACCGGAUCAGGAGAACUAUACAACAACAUGGCUCAGUGGAAAUAAACAAGGUAAUGAGCAGAUAUACAAUAGCGAUAAACUGAAAGGAAGUAAGAACUAUACUGAAUAAACGGCUACCGCUACUGUAACUGGAACAGAAAGCAUACAUGAAUAUCUACUAUAGUAGCAAGACAACUAUAAAGUAAGAUCUGUAAGUAUGCAUGCAAUGACUGCUACUAUAGACAUAUGCGUCAACCGGUCAAGAAGUCCAAAAGUACCCAAUCUGAAACCAAUGCUCUCUUGGUCAGCACCGCAGACCUCAAGCCAAUGCCCUGGAGGUCCGCACCGCAACACCUCCCGACAGUACCAUUGCCGCUCUAAUAUGCAUAUAACCCCUCUAGGGCUCACGGGUUGUCACCAUUCAACCACUUUUCCGGAAAAGAACACUCCUUGCGGUGGAUCAGAUCGCCAGUGUUCGUGAAAUGCGACGAGUAUCGGGCAAUCAAUGCAAUAUGCUCAAUAAUCAACCGUCGGCAACCAACCGACAAUCCUGCCCCCCAGGGCCCAUCGACCGCAUGGGUCAUCAUGUAAACAAAUCGACCAACCAGGUCGUAAGUAAAGGGGUAUGAAACUCGACCAACCAGGUCACCAGUACAGGAUAUGAAACUCGACCAACAAUGUCACAAGUAUAAGAUAUGAACUACCGCCGGCCACUAGCCAACAAUCUAACCCCUCAGGGUACACUAACCUCAACGGUCAUCGGACAACAGAAGUCAAAGGAUCAACCAACCAGGUCACUGAUACGAAGUACAAGAAACCACUAACCAGGUCACAAGUGUAGGAGAUGCAACGACGACCAACCAGGUCAUGAAGAUUAUAUACAGAUAAAGUCUACUCUACUCUUACACAUGAUACUACACCUGGCAACAACUAAGUAGAGUAAUAAGGAAACAGUAUGGGUGCAAGGCUCAACAUAUAUAUGGUAAAAGAUAUAAACAACAAGGGUAAAGGAAACGUCACCGAGCGUGCACCACUGUACCGACGUCGGAUCGAAGUACCCACCUGUACAACUGUCGCGCCUGACUCCUAACUGCAAAAGAACGUCAACGGGACCUAGGGAGGGUCCACUGGGUUAGUGUCUAACCCACAACUAAGAAACCCUAAAAGCAUAAUCCCAUAAAUAAACCACUGAAUACACAACCCACAGACAAUCCCACGGAGAUCGGUUUCCCAAUACCGAUUACCGUAACUCGCCGGAAGUCCCGAAAACCACACCGCGACGCCGUCGGGACCCACUAAGUGUCCCGAAACUCACCGACUCGUGUCACGAGUCACCCACUGUCCCAAAACACUCCAGUUUGGAUGUUUUGGUAGUAAACACAAGAUAACACCCCUACACAAUUGUCGCCGGAUAAUUGUGCGAAUUCGGGUUCCCGAAAGUGUCUAUUUCGACACCGGAACCCACCGUCGCUCACCCAUCAUCACCGAACCCACAAAGUGAUGAUGGUGACCAGCCAACAAGGCUUAGCGACCACUCACAGAGUAACCAAACGACGUCGGAAGAAAUUCGAACCGAAACCGCGUUCUUUCGGCGAAUUUCGCCGAAAAACGCGCCGGAAUCGACUUUUCGAUUUCCGCGAAAGCUACAAGAUCAUGGACAACCAGUCCAGAGGUCAAACACACUCAUACACACUGCCCACAGUAGCCACAAGGUGCACAAUUGCACAAAAGCCCCUAUAUUUACAUAAAAUCCCAACAUUUUAUGUAAAUCGGACGAUAACAUGGCUCGUUCACGCAAACCGAGGACUUCCAAGGUCUACAGAGACACGUACUGACAGGUCUCGAUGUACUGGAGGCUGUGCUCAUGAUCUGGAGCACAAUGGCUCACUGUGGGAAGCUCGGGAGCAACCUGAAGUUCUGCGAACAGCGCGCAGUCGGGGAAGAUCGCGCCAAAUAGGGCUCACCGGACACUGUUGAUCCAAAGUGAGGUGAGCACUGUGAUCAGUACUGACCAACGAUCACCGUGCUCACCUCCGGAGGCAUCAGGACAGCCUCGGAUCGCCGGAUAAGCGUGCGCAAACCCAAAACAGCAGCCAAACAGGCUCGAUAGGGUCGACAAUGCCGAAACAGCUGAACGGAGUCUCCCCGACAGAAUCUAAGGUGAGCACGAUGAUCAGUAAUUUGCUACGAUCAUCGUGCUCCCUUCCGCAGAGAUCGGGGAGGCUCGGGAAGCUCAGAACACAAAACAUCUAAAAUAGGCCCUAUUUCGGCUUGGCCGGAGCAAGGUUGCUCCGGCCGGCUUCCGGCAGCACGGCGGCAUGCGCGGCGGCCAGGGACGGGUGCGGGGGAGGUGAGGAGUACCGUGCUCACCUCGGUUGGCGGCUGGAAGCGGCGGAGGCGGCGGCGGAACAAGGCAUGCCCGCACGAGCUAGGGCACGGGUCCGGGGGGUGCUGCGGCCACGGCGGCGGCCGGGGCAGGUCGGGGAUGUCCGGGGGUGCGCGUCGGAGGUCUCCGGAGGUGUCUGGAGGGCGGUACUGCCGGCAGGGAGCGGCGGAGGCGCGCGGAGGCAGAGAUCUCCCAAGCUCGGCCCGCUCCGGGUCUGGGCGGCUGCGGCGAGCCCAGGCGGCACCACAGCCAACAUGGGCGGCGGGGAACGGCGGCGACGGCGCCGGAGGUCGAGGGGAAGGCGGCGCGCCCGGCCCAGGGCGGCGGCGGCGCACGGAGGCAGUGCGGGUCCAAGCUUGGCCCGCACGCGCUCCAGAUGGCCGCAGAGAGAUCCGGCGGUGGCCGGCGGCGCGCGGGGACGGCCGAUGACGGCACCGGAGGGGAAGCCUCGGCCAAUAAUAUAGGCUCAAUCCAGGGGUGACUUCCCGAAGUCAAGAGGCCGCGGAGGGUGGAGAAGGUGGUGAUGGAGAUGAUGGAGGAAAGGAAAGUGGAGCUUUUCCGGUGGCCGGGGUUGCUCGCCGGCGGCAGGGGUGCGCGCAUGGCAAGGGCAUAGAGGUGCUGAUGACGGUUAGGGUUAACUAGGGGUGCAAGUCGGCUAGAUCUAGGGUUUCAUGCUAAGGAAUCCUAGUGCAACCUUAUAUACAACCUGCAACUUUGCAGAGAAGUCCCCCAAAGAUAAUUGUUAUCAUCUAAGUCCCAGACAGUGCAUGUGUUUUGCAUGUACGCACCUCCAUGCUCGAUCUCGCGCGAUUCGGUACAUAAAAUAAUACGACUUUUGCGAAUUUCCCGAUUUUCCACUCUCGACCCCUUAGCGAACUUAUUGCAAUUCCCAAAGAUCCGUCCAUCAGAUUUCUGAUCGGAUCACGCCAACGCGUUCAGCACGUCGAGGCAUCGAAUCUAGCAUUUCGUUUCGUCCGAUUUGAUCUCCGAUUCACGACGAAAUCCAUUCUCUUUCCAAAAGGCCACAAUGACGCACAAUUACACAAGAAACAUGUAUUUUCAGAUUUUCUCGAAAUCCGUGCGUCAAAACCAAAAUCCGUCAGCGACAUUAGUUCCAGAAUAGCUGCAUCCUUCGAAACGAGCUAUUGGACUGCUAUGAACGGAGUCCGAUACGCACCAGAAGCCAACUCUACUCCGUGGCUUCUCCGGAAAACCGGAGUUACUAUUCACUUAAGUGAAAACUANCUCUCACCCAUCUCCAGAUCACUUGUACAAAGCACGAGGAGUUUUAAAAUGCACGAAUAGCAAAGAGCGGAAACCCUCUUUUUGUUAAAACUCCUUUUUCUCGAAAACCGUGCCUCAGAUCCAAAAUCCGUCAGUGCCAGUGAUUCCAGAAUAGCUGAACCGUUCGAAACGAGCUAUUGGAUCGCUAUGAACGGAGUCCGAUACGCGCCGAAAGCCAACUCUACUCCGUGGCUUCUCCGGAAAACCGGAGUUACUAUUCACUUAAGUGAAAACUAAUAAUCGCGUAACUUCUCCAUUUUAGUUCAUUUUCUCCUGAAACUUGACGAGUGCUUAUGUAAUUAAAUUACACAUAUAAACAUCGUCAACAAAGAGUUUAGUUGCACUGUCAAAAUUUCAGUCCUUACAAAAAUUAAAUUUAUAGGCUUAAUUAUAAAUAUCUUGCACUUUACCAACGAUCUCAAAUACCCUUUUAGUUCCGCCGGUUGCUGUUGUGGCUAUCUGCAUAGCGCAAUGUUAGUUUCAGCCGUCAGUUUUAACGGAAUAACUUAUUUGAGACAGUACAUAGAAAUUAAUUGAGAAACCAAAAAAAGUGCUAAGUAGUUUUAAGAAUAAUUGCACAUAUAUCCUUGACAAGUAGGGAUAUUACAUAUUUGCCCAUCUAAAUUUUACAAUAUGUUAGAUAUUCUUGUAAAUUUUAAAAUUUAGAUAUGCUAACGAUCAAUAUCGCAAACUUUCAAUAAGGUUUCACCUUAGUCCUUAAGUUUUAAACUAAAUUUCAUUUAAUUCUUACCUUAGAGUUAGAAUAAUUAUUUACACCAUAUUUAUCUAUACAUUUUUUGACGCCAUUAUUUUGCACUUUAAAUGACCUUAAAAUUAAUUUUUUUUAAAUAAAAAGUAGAAUGUUGCCACUUUAUUUGUUAAGCAAAUAAACUUAGUUACCAAAAAAAGAAGGUAAUCUAGAGCCUCAUGUUGCUAGAAAAAGUAAUGAAAAAAGUGAUUAAUUAAAAAGGAGAAAAACCAAAAAAAAAGUUAAUUGUAUACAGAUGCCUACAAAUAUAGUGAAUGACAAAUAUAUCCCUACAAAGUUCAACUUCAUAUGUUGUUCCUGCAAAAGUCAUGAUAUUUUCAAAUAUAUUUUUGCUGUUAGAAUCCGUUAGAAAAAUUUAGUUAACCAUAAGUUAAAUACUUAAUCCUUGUUAGUUUUUGACAUUUUUAUCUCUUUGUAUUAUACUGUUAUGGUUUUUGGAGGGAUAUAUUUAUGAUGACAAAAUUGAAAUAUAAACAGCUCUCUAACGGUUCUCUAACGAUAAUAAAUCAUAUGGACAUAUUUGAAAACAUUAGAACUUUUGCGGAGACAACAUAUAAAAGUUGAAGUUUGUAGGAAUAAAUUUGUCAUUCACUAUAUUUGUAGGAAUCUUUAUGAAAUUAACCCCCAAAAAAAAAGAAUGGGGAAGCACAAGAAGGUCGUGGCUUUAUAUUUGUCAUUUACUAUAUUUGUAGAAAUCUUUAUGAAAUUAAUCAAAAAAAAAAAGAAUGGGAGAAGCACAAGAAGGUAGAGAAAGCCACAUGACUAAAUACCACAAAUUAUGGUCCUCUUUCUAUCAUAAACUGUGAUAUCAUUUUUCUCAAACCAAAAUACCCACCAUAAGAUCAUUAACUUAACACAAUUCCUAUUUUCCCUUUAAAAGUUUGAGUAUCUUCUAUAAGGCCCUACUAAUUUUAUUGUUCGGAGUGAAUUAUGAAUUACUCAUUAUAAAAAAAAGGAUUGCUGUAUUGCACGCGUAAUUUGAGAAUAAAUGAAUUGUUUUAUCUAUCUCUACUUCUCAUAUAAAUAAAAUUUAUUGCUGAUCUGCAAAUUAUUAUCUUUUCAACAUGUUACUGAUUAUACAGACUAUUUUUUCCAGCAAUCGAACAAAAAUCUUUAUCUUAAUUGAAAUUUUUAAUUUUUAGAUUUGUGGUACGAUAAUAUCUCUAAGACUUCCUGCAACCAAAAACUCGUAACUUUAGACCAUCCCAUUUAAUUAUGUCCUAAGUCGAAAUGAUUCGAAUUUAAAAUUUUAUAAAAUUUAAAUUUUAUAGUUCCGAUUAUAUUUAAAAGUUACAAUCAUUGGUUUGAAAAUUUCAACGUCUGAAACAUCGCGCAGAUAUAAAUACGUCUGGUUACUUCGAUGUAUUAUAGCACCUUGUCAAUUGGUUACAUUUUGGGAAAACUUUAAAUACCACCCGUGUGAUUUCACAUUUUCUCACUUUAGUACUCUAUAAUUUAAAGUGUAUUAAUUUAGUGCUUUGUGUUUUCAUUUUUUAUUUUUUUAUUAUCAAUUCCACUAAUUUUUUUCGUUAAAUCAGUGAUAAAGUUAAAACUAAAAGGUACUAAAGUGAAUAUUCGAUAAAUCUAGAUUGAUAUCUGAAGUUUUUUAUAUAUAAUUUAAUAAAAUAUUAACGAAAAAGCUGACGAAAGGAUAAAAAUAAAAUAACAUGAUACUAAUUUGAUACAGUUUAAAUCAUAAAAUAUUAAAGUUAGAAAAUGCAAAUUUUUUUCUCACCCAACCUUAAAUCCCCCUUUGUUUCUUUCUCUCUCUCUCUCUCUCUCUCUCUCCCCUUCUCUCUCUCACCACAGCCACUAUGCUAAUGCUUCGUUCUCGCUUCAAUCUCCAAACCCUAGCACCACUCCUCACCUCUCCCCGACCCUCCCCCUCCUCCUCUCUCCCCUUCCUCCUCCACCGCCGCCGCCGCCGCAACCUCUCCUUCUCCGCCCUCCGCCCCGACCCUUCCGCCCCCUACGCAGCAGCAGCAGCAGCAGCAGCAGCAACAGCAGCAGCGCCACCCAAAUCGAAGGGGCCGCCGCCGCCGGCGGGGGUGGUGAGGACGGCGCUCUUCGUGCCCCCGGGGGUGCCGCGCGACGCGGGCGCGGCGGAGAUGGUGGUGCUCCCGGGGUCGAACAUCGUGGUGGGGCCGUACGCGGGCGACGCGCGGAUCCGCGAGGUGGAGUUCGCGAAGAGCAGUCCCCGCGCCCGCGACUGCCCGAGGGACGAUCGCCCCGAGUUCGCCGUCAUCGGCCGCUCCAACGUCGGCAAAUCCUCUCUCAUCAACGCCCUCGUCCGCAAGAAGGACGUCGCCCUCACCUCCAAGAAGCCCGGUUGAUCUCUCUCUCUCUCUCUCUCUCUCUCUCUCUCUCUCUCUCGAAACUCUAAUCUCUACCCUCUUUCAGAAUUGUUGCAGUAUUAGCUAAAUUAUGAGUUAAAAAAAGGUAUUGAGAGACCCUAUCAACUGUAGGCUAUUUUGACCCUGCAAAAUGAAUUCUUUCUUAAUUCGAGUCAUUUUAAUAAGUAAAGUUCAAUUUGACAUUCAGUCAGAAAGGGCGUCAGAACAGUUGAAUUUGACAGAAUAAUCGUCGUGUUUAACCAAAUCUCCAAUGUUAUUGAUGGAAAUAACUUAAUUUGAGAGAUUCAGAAAUCGAGAGGGGGUCAAGCAAACGAAAAGGAGAUGAAGGGUUUGUGAGUUCCUAUACAUUUUUACCUAAGUUUUGCGAUGUUGUCUUACUGAGCUUGGUUUUUUGUACGAUAUCUCUGAUUGUUCGGUUAGGCACGUGUAUGUUCAUAAGCAAUCAAGAUUAUGAUUCUAGCAUAAUUUGUUAAUUUAAUGCACAAUUUUGGUUCAUCAUUCACAACGGUUAACUUUUUUCAUAUAUCUUUUGAAAUUUGACUGAAAUCAAAUGCAGGGUGAUAUUGCAAAAGCUUAAGUACUAUUAGGACUAUCAAAUGUAAAUAAAAAUUUAGGGACCAAAAUCACAAUAAGUCAAAUGUUUACUUUAGGGACUUCUUAGUUCUUAUUACACACUAGAAACAAUGUCUGCAAAUAUUACUGAAGUUUAUUCUACUUUUGCUACCUUCAAUUACAUUUUCUUCUAUGCUAUUUUGGAAACAGGGAAAACACAACUUAUAAAUCAUUUUUUGAUCAACAAAAGUUGGUACAUUGUGGAUCUGCCGGGUUACGGGUACGUUUUACUCUCAAACAUCUUACAUGCAUAUCAACUGUUUGUUAAAUGGUUUCUUGAACGUUUAUUUCUUAAGCUUAUACUUGUUGAUAAUAGCUGAUUAUGAAAUUCAAGGGCUACAGAAACUUACACAGUUACACUUAAAUUGAAGAGGAACAGUUGGUGGAGCUAUAUCUGGUUAUAAGGAUUUCAACAGUAAUAACUCUUUUGUUUUGAUGUUUAUUUGGAAAGGAACAUAGGAGAGUUAUGUGUAAGUUUAGGUUGGUUAACUGUCAUGUUUGAACACUUCAUACAGUUAGGGUAGUGAAAAUUAUGUGGAUGACUGGUGGUGAAAUCCAAGCAUAUUGAAUUAUUGGUUGACCUUAAGCAUUCAAACAUAGAGUCAAAAAUAAUGAUGUAAAUAAUUGAUAUUAGAUUUAAAUAAAUCUGCGUACUUGAAAUUGAUCUCAUAUGAAGGAAAAUUAAGGACUAUAAUAAGCUAGCUAUAGAUUUAGAUAAUGUAGGUUCUUGUAUUAAUAGUGUAUUUUGCGCAACAUUCUUGUUCAAGAUGACUAUCACUUAGGCUAUGUUCUAUUCGGGGAUUAGCUUUUUGGGUUUUUUUUUAAAAUUCUUUAUUUUAUUUUGUUAUUUUAUUUUAUUUUUUGCUUCUGGGAUAUUCCACUAUUCUGGAGUAAGCAAGAGUAAGGACGACAUAUGCUCGGUUGUUAUUUGCUUAUUCUUGGGGAAUAUGCAUAUAAGCAUUUGGAUGCUUUUGCCUGGAGUAAUGAGAAAGUCGGUGAAUGAAAAUAUAUAGUGUCAAAACUAAUUCUCUAUGAAAAUCUGUUUAAACUGCUGCAGCAAUCGGCAUUCACAAAUUCUUCGGGGUUAGUGAUAACUUAAUAAAAAACAAAGGUUGAUAAAAGGAACUUUCGAACUAUUGGCCAUUUUGGAAAUUGGUCCCUCAACUUUAUUUUUUUAGGCUAAAUUACAAUUAUAAAAUCAUUUGCACUUUAGCUCCCUCGAUAUUAGUAACCUAAUAGAAAACUCUCCUUAAUAGUUGCGCAGUUAUGGCUUAACCUUCUUCCAUUAGUUUUAUUAUCCAAAAAACAUAAUAAAGUCUUAAGACAUAAGUUCAAAUACCAAUAUUUGACACACCCUUCAACUUUUGAUUUAUUUAAUUUGAGUUAUUUUAGUUCAGAAUUUUAUUUGAUUAUGAUGGUUUUAUUGGCUGUAUAUUGUUAAUAUUGUUGAUUAUUAACAUAACUAUUGUUUUUUGCAAAAAAGUGAUCAAAAUCGUUAAUUUAAACAUAAUCACACUUCAAUUUAACAAAAUAUUUAAUUUAACCAACUAAAAACCCUCAAAUUUUAAAAAAAAUUCAAAAUUUGUGGAAAUGCCAAAUGAGGAAUCAUUUCAAAUUAGUGUAUAAUUGANGAGAUUUUUUUUUUACCUUUUGCUAAUCUUUAGUUGUUAAAUCCGUAUUUAGCAAUUGAGAACUAAUCAGUUUAUGGUAUUAAUAAUGUGUGGAAAUGCCAAAUGAGGAAUCAUUUCAAAUUAGUGUAUAAUUGAGGGUGUCUUUGUAUAUAUUUCACCGGCAGCUCACAAACAUAAAUACUUCAUUUCCACACAUUAUUAAUACCAUAAACUGAUUAGUUCUCAAUUGCUAAAUACGGAUUUAACAACUAAAGAUUAGCAAAAGGUAAAAAAAAAAUCUCGUACAUUACUAUCCAUGAAGCAUUGACAACUACGAACUCAGUGAGGAAGGGAGGAGGGGAAGAAUAUGGUUCUCACAAUGUGCUUGUUUUUUUUAAUAGUACAAGCUCUGCUAUUGUUAUAAAAUCUGGUACAAAGCCUGGGAUAAUGUUGUUCCAGUGGGGAGAUGGAACAAGCCAUCCCCAGUUAUCCUCGGAUAGGAGAUUUUGAUCAGAACAAAUUAUUUUUGAUGAAAAAUUUAGGGAUAAUUUGGGGAUACUUUUGUUAUUUUUGAUGGAAUAAUGGGGAUAAUUUUUGUUAUCCCCCAUUUAUACCUCAAUUAAACAAUACCUUGUGUUAUUUUGGAGUUUACUGUACAUAUAAGUUCAACAAAUGGAUUUCUUAAUUUGCGUAAAUAUUAUACUAUAGAUUUUGUAAGGCAUGUUCUUAAAAGUUUUGAGUUGCUUUGCUGUUUUUACCCGAAACUCCUAGCUUGUAGGUAUAGAAUAUGCAUGAGUUCUUCUUCUAGAUUUUGCACAAGAACUCUGAUUCAUGCGAGACAAUCAUAGCUUAUCAAGACCAAGUUUAAUAUACAUAUAAAUCUAAUUAACGGGCUUUAUUAUAUCUAAUUAUUAUACAGCAUAAUUUCAAAGAUUGAUGUUGCUCUACUAUCUUUACUGGAUUGCACAACAUUAUAUAUGUUAAAUGAGAUAAGUACUUGCUUGUAAAUGUUGGGUAGAGCUUCAGCAUUUGAUAAUAUCAAUCAUGUAGCGUACUCAAUGUGCUUGUUUGUAGAGCUUGGGUUCUAAUUGGUGGACACUAAAUCUUUUUUGAAAAACUUAUGCAGCAAAGCCUAGAUACCAUGUUGUUGGCAAGUUUGUUGAAAAAUUAUUAAGCAAUUGUGGGUUAUUACGUUCAACUGUUGAUAUUGUUUGGCCUUGAGAUUAGAUAUAAAACGAUAAAAUGAUGGUACUAACGGUUGAGCAUGGAUUCAAUCCUUUAGCUGAUUUACUAAUUGGUACUUUAAUACUUAGGAGACAAGAUAUUGAAUUUGAAAAGUGGCAAAUUUGUAGGAUUUUAAGGUGAAGAAAAACUGCUAAGAAGAACUUCAUGCCGACACAGAAUGGCAUGAAAUAUUCUGCCACUUCCGUUUUUUCUAACUCUUACUGUAAGUCUCAAGUCCUGUUGCCUGAUAAUACAUGACUGUUUUGAGAAAAGCUUCUCUUCUAAAGCAAAGGUUCAUGGCCUUGAUUCGGAGUUCAGUAGCUGUGGUGAUUCUUUUCCUUCAAAAGUUCUUAUGUUUGUUUCAUAUCUCUACUGACAUGAUAGGAGGGACAUCAGCUCAAAAUUGUUAGUUGUCCUUUUAGACAAAUUGUUGAUGAUGUACUUCUCAGCAGGCUUGGCAUUUGUUAUUAAUAAUCAGAGAAACACAACAUAGAUGUCCUUUGAAAUGGUUUCACAAAAAAAUUCUCUGGGCGUUGCAACCUUUUCCAAUCAUGUAUCAUAUUCUAUCCUCGUAAUAAACUGUUAGCUUUAUUCCCUGAAUAUAGGUUUGCAAAUGCUCCUGAAUCGGCUCGAAUGGACUGGUCUUCAUUUACAAAGGGUUACUUUCUAAACCGCAACACUCUAGUUGGUGUUCUCCUUCUCGUUGACGCCAGUGUUCCACCCCAGCAAAUCGACCUCGAUUGUGCUAAUUGGCUUGGUCGUAACAACGUACGACCUAAAAUUCUACUUCUCUACCUUCUACCUGCUGCAAUUAACAUUUAAUUAUUUACUAAUUUCCCCUUAUCUUCUCUUGAAUUGAGUGGUUUUAGAUUGGGUUGACUUUUGUUUUCACGAAGUGUGACAAAGUCAAGAGUGCCAAAGGCAGACGACCGGACGAGAACAUCAAACAUUUCCAGGAUUUGAUAAGUAAAUAUUAUAAGGAUCCUCCCCCGUGGAUUAUGACCAGUAGUGUCACGGGAUUAGGGCGAGAUGAGUUACUUCUCCAUAUGUCGCAGUUAAGGAACUACUGGGAUAACGAAGCAGCUUAAAAAGCUACAUAUAUCGCCAAAGUUUUGUUAGGUUUGUAUCUCUAGACUAUCAUCUUUGUUGUAUAUAAAGUUUUCCAGGUAUGAAGUUGCAUAAAAUAUUUGUUUCUUCUAUUGAGAUGCAUUAUUAUACUAGUCGACAACUCAUUGAACGUCAUACUUGAUAUGUAUUUCUCAACAUUUGGUCUUACAUUUGUAUAUUUGCUUUGUGAAAUGGCAGUAAAAGGUGCAUAAUUACGAGCUUUCAGGAAAAUUUGAGAUUACAUAUAAGGACACUAAGGAAGCAGAAAAAACAUAGAGCUCAGAGGCUUACACCCCCAGUUACACAACCGCCUCGAGAAACAUUUUAUGUGUGACACACUUGAACCAAUCUAAGCAACCAAGUUCCACCCACUAACAUAGCAACCCAUUGUUUGGCACCAUUGAGCAAAUUAAUUGGAUUUCUGAAAUAGAGCCAAAUCUCGUGAUUUAAGAUUGGAUUUAGUGGGAAUAAUUUUUGACUCAAAAUAUCCCUUCUUCAAAUAGAUAUCUUUACUUUUUAACUCUUAUAAUAAUGUUUGAUUUGAAAAUAGGUGUUUUGAAAUGAUUUUUUAUCUGUCUAAACAAUUUUCUGUCAAGUCUCUGUCAAAACAAUAAAAAUAAAUGAAAUUCACUUCAAACCCUGAUUUAUUCUGAUAACAUAUAUUUAUUUGAGAAAAAUUAAUUAUGUAGAUAUUUAUUUCAGCAAAGUUAAUUAAAUUAUGUGUGUUUUUGACUCCAAACAGAGUGUAAAGUGUAAACUAAUAUCUUGAUCGCCUCUUUUUGUUUCUUUUUUGCACAAGAUAAAAUAUGCCCCUUUUACUCUUUCUCUUGGUGCAAAACUGUCCUUCACCUGCCUAUGGCUGUGAAAAUUAUUAAGGAAAUUAGUUUCAAAUUACUAGAAUUGUUACUAUUUUAUGUUCUUUUAAUUAUGUAAUUAUCUGCGGUUCCCUAUGGUAAUUGCCGAUUACAUAUGUUCCCUGAAAACAACUUGCUAGAAAUAAAUUAAGUAUUAGAUAGUUGUCACUUUCAGCGAACCCAUCGAAGAACUCAUAGCAGGAAGAAAUAGUUUAAAAUUUCUAGGUUACAUACACCAUCUUCCUGGUGUUCUCUACAGAAGCAAACCCAAUAGCUAGAAAAUCUUCCUAUCUUUACAUCUUUUCCUUGUAGAUUAAUGUUAUCUACCUUUUGAUUCUCUUCUUCACCGUUUUAUCCGCCAUUAACUGAUGCCUGAAUCUUAUACUCCAAUUAGUUCGAUAUUUGAAAACGAUGGAAAGCUCUUUUGGAUAUAUAACAACUGCUGGGCUGGUAUGGACAACUUGAGCAUGUUGGGGUGGUGAUUUAAACAUAUGAUCAUACCCCUCAUCUAUACUGAAUUCUACGAGCUGAAUAUGUCCUUCCAAUUUCCAGCUACACAUUGAUUGCUCUUCACUACAUCUUCUCUCCUUAAAACUAUCUGCUGUUCACAGGUUGUUUGAGCCUCGUGGAGAUCUAAAAUCUCUCCUUCUACCGAGAAAAAUCCAUCGAUGAACAUGACCGAGAAAAAUCCAUCGAUGAAACGGGCCUUAUCUAAUCCAACUAAUACGCGAUGUGAAUCGCACGUCAUCGAUAUGUCGCUUCCGAGUGCAAUUGAGAUCCUCUUUGGUUUCAAUUUGUAGAGGUGAGCAUGGGUUUGAUGGUGUCUGUUUACUAGGCCUAGCAAUAUCCAUGUUCAAGGAAGAAAUGUGUAUGCUGAUGGUUUAGCCAUUGUUCAAUCUGUUUUCAAUUCAGGGAAGAAUCCUUCUAUGUUUGUAUCUGAUAAAUUAUAUUAUGUACGAAAUAACCGUUGUUCUCUAAAUGCUAAAGUCGGUAGUUGUGAGCAAAUGAUGUCCUUUAAUAGGAUAUGUAAACUUCUUCAGGUGCUCCAGCGUUGUUCAGUAUAGUUUUCGCUUUACAAUUCUGUUGUUUAAAAGCUUGCACUUUCGCUUUAUUUUUAUUUUACUACGAAAAUUUGUCGGUAAAAAAACCGUAGUAAAGCAAAUUGGAGCAGUAAUGUGUAAACUAUAGUAUUGUAAGGUGAUUACCACAACAAUAAAGGUGGCUCUUCAUUCUGAUUCGGAAUUUGUAACCGUAAUAUCGAUAUCAUUUGAUUUUUCUUAAUUUUUCUUAUUUGACUUUGCUACUACUUUCUUAUGCAAGUAAAUUUGUCGCACGGUGGAUUAUCGACUAAUUCGUGUAGUACAUAAUCUUUUUUGGGUCUGUAUUACAAAUAUUAACUACAUAAACAACAAAAAUUAAAUGCUAAGUAGGUUUUUGUGUGUGUGUGUGUGUGUGUGUGUGUGUGUGUGUUUAUCUUACAAGCUGUUUUCUCUCUGAGUUUAUGCCAUUAAUAACCCCUAUAAUCUCCUUAAUUGCAGCGCCAUUUUUCAAAAUCCCCGUGUGCGAGAUCCCCCGGAGCCUGAUCACAUUCAGGGACUGGUUCGCCGAGCCCGACCACUCCGACUCGAGCGCCAGCAGGCUCACGGCAUUCACCGUCCCGUCGCCGUCCCCGUACGCCACCUCCGGCCGCUCGUCGAACCCCCCGGUCCUGUAGAACAGCUUCUCCGGCGUGUCGACUCCGGUCCCGACAACGCACGUGACCGGCACGCCCGGCUCCUCCAGUUUCUCCGUGAGCGGCUUGACCCGGUUCGUGUACGGCCCUACCCCCUCCCGAAACCCGAUGUCCUCCAAGAAACUCGGCAUUUCGAAUGCCGAGUAGCUCUUAUUGAUAUGCGCGGCAUGCACGAUCGGCUCGGCCCCGAAGUGCUUCGGAGCCGGCAGGAGCCAGAGGUUGCUCUCGGAGCUCCGCUGCUCGGCGCGGACGAGCAGCGGGUCGACGAGCGGCAAGCCGAGGGCGUUCCCCGAGGCGAAGGUGAGCAUCUGCUCCGCCGUGCCGGCCCACGGCGUGGAGAGCGACACGAGGUGCGCGACGAACCGCCGGCGCCACGACGGCGGGCUGCGGAUGAGGAGCUGGAGCGCGAAGAGGCCGCCGAGGCUGUGCGCGACGAGGAUCGCGGGGCGGCCGCCGUUCGCGGCCGCGGCAGACUCGAUCAGCUCCUUGAGGUCGGAGAGGUACUGCGCGCCAACCUGCGAGGGGUGGCCGGCGGCGGCGAGGCCGUAGCGGAAGUCGUAGGGUGCGCCGAAGAGGCUGUUGCUCUCCUUGUAGCCGAUCUGCUCCAGGGAGCUCACCAGAGUGGCCAUGUACUCAGUCAGGUGCCUGAACAAACAACAAGCUCAGUGUUUGUGCUGAGUUAAUUUCGCAGAACAUGCACAGAACUUAUCUGAAUUACAGACCAUUUGAUUUGAGUCGGCGAUACUAUAAUCUCAAAACUUGAAUAUGCCGCUUACCUUUAUAAACUUAAUAAAUAUAUUUUAUAUAAGGCUAAAUUAUAGAAAUUUUUUUUAUAAAUAUUUCAUUUGUUUACUUUUCUUUUCUGACUUUUAAAAACUUAUAUUUUACUCUUUUAAUAUUUUAAGUUGUUGUAUUAGUAUUCCUCCAUCAGAAUUUCAUCACUACGUUGUCUAUUAUUUAUAAUUUAUACUUAAAUUAUUUUUUAAAAUGAAAGAAAUAUAUUAAAAUUUUAUUUUUUUAUAGAAGAAUUAAGAGUAAUUUGAUUAUUUUGUUUUCUUCGUUAACGUUAAAAUAUAGAUCUUUGAUAAUUAGGAAAUUAAAGUGAAAAAAAAAAGAAUAUAUAAAAAGUUUUUCUAUAUUUUAGCCAUUUAUUAAAAUAAUUAAUUAGUUUAGAUUUUGGAUUUGGAUAUGUCAAAGAGGAUUAAAUUAAGGAAAGAUAAAACCGCACAAUAAUGUGAAUCAAUUUUGAAAUGAUUAAUUUAACUUUUCAUAAUUAUUUUAAUUUUACAAUCCAAUCUUUCAACUUCUUUAGUUUUCAUUAAUCAGCCAUAUUUUAACUUCAAAAAUUUAAACUAAUUAUUUAUUUUAAUAAAUUUAUAAUUGCGAGAAUUAUAUAAAAUAUACUUCACUAAAUCUAUAAAAUUCAAUCGAUGUAUUCAAAUAUUAAAGUCAAAAAUUUAGAUAGUAAUAAAAUUAAAAUUUUAAAAUAUUGAGUAUUUGUCUUAUCAAAAUGUUCUGCCGUUCAGAUAAAUUAGUGUACACUUUUACGAGCGACCUAGAAGACUACAUUAAUAAUAGGCCAAUUUGUAUAAAAAAUUUACAAAUUUUGAGUUUUUAUAAAACUGGCCGUCUUUUUCGAUUUUACUGAUUCGGUCCGAAUUUUUAAUAAAUUGACUAAAAUAUCUCUUAUACCUUACAGGACCACAAUUAAAUUCUAGAAAGCCAUUAUCAUCCUAACUUUAUAAUAAUAAAAACUCAAUAUUAAAAAAAAUAAAAAACUAAAAAACUAUUAAUAAUAUUUCAGCCCAAUUCUAUUUAUAGUACAGCAGCUUUAACUC